CCUGCAACAAAAUAUUACUUCAAUCGUUUAUUACGGAUUCAAGAUUCUCUCAAGAAUGUUUGAAUGACAGACAGCGUAAGCAGUUUUUAUAUUCGUAAAUGUCCAAACUAGGUUACGCUCACUUCGACUAAUCUCAAGGGGCAACCUACGUAAUCCUAUGAGUGUCGAGUAAAGAUGACCACUAUAAAUUGAAUCCAUGAUGUUGAACUCAUACCCUUUUAUCAAAGUUAUGUUUGAGCAUCAAUUUUUUUUUUUUUUUUUUUUUGUUUGUUAGAAACAACUUUCUUUGGGGAAAAGAUAAAAGGAAACAAGGUCAUGAAAAACAAAAAACAAACUCACAGAAACUCACUAAAGAAAGGGGGUUCCGACAUGGUAAAUUGAUAUGCUAAUAGAAAAAUUAGAAAAUGUCUUCGUGAUCGGUGUCGAAAGAAAAACAUGAAAACUCAAAAAGAAGCCAAACAUCCAUCUUACCUGAUUGGAGAUCUAACAUUUGCACCAACAUAAACGAAAUGUUAAUACCAGCAACAGCAAACGGAUAUUCCCACUCAGCUCUCUUACCAUCCUUCUUAUACAACAAUCUGCGGAAUGACUCCUGUAAAGGAAUCCAACCAACUAUUUACAUUGAAUAAUCACCGACGAUAUAUUAUCAAUGUAGCCAAAAAGGAAAGAGAUAAUAUCACUUGGAGAUCUAAUUAGAACUAUUCGCAAAGCUGGACCGACUUGCAUGCUCACAUCCAAAACAAGACAAAAUUAGUGCAUCUAGCAGUACACAUUCAGCAAGUCCUGAAUAAUUUAAGCCAAGUAAAAGUAGCAGCAAUCACAAUAGGAGGGACGAUAAAUAGCAUACUUUUCACUACUUUUAACUACUUUUUAACCCCAAAGCUUCAUAAAUCCUCACUGAAAUGACUUAAGAAAACAUAAUGCUUCUCAAUAUCGCGCUUUUAACCACUAGUGAAGUAAUUCAAUUCCGUGGUUUUCAAUCUGAAUCUUAUACGGCAUUUGUGUUUCCAUACAAACAAAGAUAAUUACAUUUAUUACUAUAUGUCAGAUCAAAGAAUCAGGUAUAGAACAUAAGAGAAAAGAUAGAGCACCAAGCAAAAGAAGAGAAAAUAUUAAAACAUAGGAAAAGGAAACAAACCGGAUAUGUCUGGGCAAAGAAGAUAAGAUUUUCCAGUGAAACAAAUCCACCACCUCUACAAAAAAGUAUAGAAGACUACUAAAUAUUAACAGAAGGGGAUGAAACAAACGAAGCAUCAUUUCAAAAGAUCAAAGAUUGUACUCACCUAAAAUCUGUUGAAGGAUCAGUACCUUGCCAACCCAUGUCCUUCCAGAGCUCAGAUUUAGGAGGUGGAAGCUCUCUGUCUGGAUAUGCCAACCUCCAUAACCUUUUCAGAGCAUCCUACAACGCAUGGAUUCAUUUAUUUUUCCAUCCCAGAAAUGGAGUGAAUAGCCAAAUUCCUGUUACACAUUCUUCAUUGUAUUUUUAAUAUUUUUUAUAUUCAAAGUGUCCAGACCACCUUACACGCACCUCAAUUAAUGUCACCGACUAAUCUCACGGGAUAACCAAUUAUAUUAGUCGAGGUUUCUAAUCAUCCAUUUGAUCGUAUAGAACACUGAAGGUACAGGGGGGUGUUAUACAAAUCAAGGAGAUGUCUACACAAGUCACUAGGUCUAACAUCCAGAAAGAAGGAAGAGUAUGUUCUGAAGUACCUUUACGUCUUCAACAACUAGAAACACAAUCCCUAUUCCGAAUCCUUAUGUUUGCCUACAAUUUUGAAGCAAAUUUCGAUAGAUUUUUUCUUUAAAAAAAAACAAACUGUUAGGUGCUAUAUCAAAACUUUUGAUAUAAACACUUCACCCUUAAUCUCUUGUAGAAAAAUAGAUUACAUCACUAAAUACUCUCUAUUACCUUCAAUUCACACAAAUUCUCUUCUUAAGCUUCCAUCACAUAAAUCCUCCCUCCAAUUAUUCUCUACACUUUCUCGUUAGCUUCUUGUUAAAUUACAAUCAACCCAAAAGUUAAAGUUCAUAGGUUACGAUAAAUUUAAUUAAAUACACACUUCCACAUUCCCCUCACUUGUGGGCUUGCAAAUUAUAGGAAGCUCAAACAAGCAGACAAACUAAUUGGAAAGAAAAUGAUAAUGACAUUAUAGGAAUUUGAACAAAGAACCCUUCCGCCCUCAUGAUAUCUAAAAUAUCAAGAGAAUACUAAUUUAAUUUCUUGUUCACAAGGAUGGACGAGUUUCUUAAGGAGAAGAAAAUCCACAGAAUUACAGAUACGGAAACUCUGACAAAUAAAUACAAAUUACUGCUAUAAUAUAGUAAAUAUAAAAGAUUUUGCCAACAUGAACAUUAGCUUAACUUGCACAAAAUAGGCAUCUUCGUCAAUGAGGUUAGAUGUUUGAAUCACCCACCUUACAUAUUAUGUUAAACUCAACAAUAUAUAUGCAUGCAUACAUACAUAGAAAAUACAUACAAUUGUUAAUUAACUCAACAUUUUAUGUUUUUCUAGUGUGCGUUUAGUAUUUUAUGUUAAACUUAUAUGUCCUAAAAUAAUGACAGAAAACAUUGUAUUUGUAAGGUGUCCAUGUCCUAGUUUUCUAUUGUUUAUUUAUCUAUUAUUUUUUUAAAAAAAAUUGGUGUAUUGCCGUUUUGUAUCAUAUCCGUGUCCAUGUCCCAGGUCUAUGAUCGCCGUCUUAGAGGAAAAAUAUAUUGACACACACAAAAAAAGCACCCAAACGGCACUGGAGGAUAAACCUUUGGAGCUGUUUGUUGAGAGAAUUUGGAGUCUAUGGAUUUGGAAUAGAGAUGGCCUAGCUCAACUAGAAGAGGUACUUUCUCAUUCUCCAUUCACGGGUUACAGUUUUGUGGUAGAAUAACUUCUUAUGCAAUUUUGUGGGGCAUUUGGCUUGAGAAUUUAAGAUGGAUAAUAUAAUUUUAAAAGGGGUGGGGAGAUCGGGCGAGGAAGUUAGGGAGGUGGUGGGUUUAACGCCUCUUGUGCGUAUGGUCAAUGGGCCUUUUUGUAAUUAUGAUUACAUUUGAUCAUAUUCUUUUGGAUUGGAGUCUUUUUCUGUAGUUAGGGUCAGGCUCCCUUUUUUGGUUGGAGCUUCAUUUUUUCUUUUGUGCAACCCUGGUAUAUUCUUUUAUUUUUCUCCAAUAAAGCACUGUGGAUUCUUACCAAAAACAAAAAGGGAAAAAAACCACAACAAAAGUGCCCAAGCUACCAAGUUCAAUAGAAUCUUAACUUCUUCCUCAAAGAUAAACCAUUUAGUACCUCAAGAAGUUCCUCUCCAACCAUAAUUCAAUAAAAUUUUCAUAGAAUUUCAUUUUUUUUUUCAUCUUAAUUUUUUUUCGGUAUUGGAAAUAUGUAAAAAUUGAUCCUUCAAAAAUAAAUUCUAACUCGAUAAAACACUUCUAAAUUAUUGGAACCAAGCAACAAAAUGUUUCAAUAGCAAUCAUCUUUUAUUGAAUUGAUACAAAGUGCUUAUACAAGUGAGAAGUUAGAACUCAAUUACAACAUUAAUCUGUAUACGCUCAUGUGAUAAGUGGUCUGGGUCAAGAGAGAAUAGAGCAAGGGAGUAUACUUUUUUCUCUUGUAUUUGCUUUGAGUGACGUAGAACGGGAGAAACAUUGGCCUUAUUGAAUUAUUUGGCUUUCUAAAAUUAUUUUCAAUUGUUAUAGAAGCAAAACCCAUCAAACUUGAAGUAAACAUAGCCCUAGUUCUCCUACCCUUACCAGUAUAUCCCCAUUCUUUUCCUUAAAAUGAACGUAAUAUGCGGUUUAUUCUAAAAUAUAGCAAAAAUAAACUAAAAUAUUUAAAAAUAUAGCAAAAUGUCACUGUCUGUCAGUGAUAGACACUGAUAGAUGAUGAUGUCUAUCAGGUGUCAGUCUGUAACAUAGAUAGCCAUUAAAGUUUUAUUAUAUUUGUAAAUAAUUCAGUAGUUUUUCCAUUUAAAACAAUUACCUAGUAAUAUCAUGAAAUUCCAUCUAACAUUAGAACCUUAUAACUACUACGGAUCCAUGAUCAAAUAUAUCUGAUAUCGGUACACAUGGAAUAGGUGAUGUAGAACAUCUCCCUUCUUUAUGUAGAACAUCUCCCUUCUUGAUGUUUCUUGAAUUUUAUCCUAGAAGAGGGGUUUGAAUUACCAUUUUUAUAGUUUUGGAUUAAUUACCAAUUUUGUAUCUUGAGUUAGUUAUAACUAACUCAACUCCAAGUUAAACUAACUCAACCCCAAGUUAGUUUAACAACUCUUGUAAUCUCCAGCCUAUAAAAAGGCUUCUCAUUUUCAUUAAUAAGACAUAAAAAAAAGAGGCAUUAUACAUACAGAAUUCUAACUUUGCAGUCACUGCAUCAAUAGGCUUGCUAAGAAUAACAUACAUUUACUGAAGACCCUUGUUCCCCACCUCUCCCAAACUCCAAGUCUAAUUCUCCUCGAGACCAUUUUUCCUUCUUGCAUUACCUAAAGUGAACCAGUUGUUUGUCGGUCCAAUGACCAACAGAAGUUAUGUAUGAUACUGGAAUGUACUUCUUUUAGGACCAGUGCAUAACUUCAAGUCGGCAAGUAAGACUAACUUAGAUAUUGCUGGACAGCAAAUUUUGGUAGGUAACUAGGAACAAACAUACAAGCACAAACAUCUUUCAAUAAACAUACAAGCACAAACAUCUUUCAAUAAACAUACAAGCACAGACAUAAAAUAUUGAUAUGAACAGAACAUAAUAAAGAUGAACAGACAUGUUUUCAUGAGAAUCAUAGCUAAGUAAACUUGCACAAGAAGUGGGAAUGUCCCAACUGGUUCAUUCAAUUAUCAGCAAAAGAAUUCCCUUUGUUAUGAAAUUUGAGAAGAAUUCCAUAAGUAUAGCUUGCAGGAAAUACUUACAUUUUAAGACAUCGAAAGAGAACGAGAGUAGUAACACAUAUAUAACAAAAUCCAUAGAAUUUGAGAUCCCAUAUAAAAAUGUUGAAGGACUCACUUGGUGCUCAAUGCGAGAUCCAUCAAAGGGAACUUCCAGCCUUUGCUUUAAACUCCUGAGUCUUUCUUCCUAGGAAACAGAGGGGAGAUUUUUACAUUUGAUAACAGAUACUCUACCUUAAAAAUUUUGCAAUAUAAAAAAUGAGUGUAAAUCCAAACCAAUAAACACAACAAACUGACACAGCCAAUGUUUGUGAGUUGAUUCAAUGGAAAUUCCAUAAGACUUUUGCAAUAUUAAAAAGGUUCUCUUUUUAAGCUUUCCAAUUCCCAGAUGUGAGCACAAUCAAAACUUUAUAUAGAAAUGGAUUUAUAAGACUUAUUUGUAGAGGGGACCUAUUGCAUGGUUAAAUUGAAAAUUUAGUCCCAUGGUUUAUAUCUGGAAUCUAGUUCCUAUGCUUUAAUAAAAGACCUUCAUAAAUUGAUGAGGAUUUUAUCAAACCAUAGAGACUGCUUAUGAAAUUUUAUCAAAUCGUAAGGACUAAAUUCUAACUUAAAAAAUUACAGAAACUAAACUCUAAUUUUCUCUGAAUCACAGGGACCAAAUUUAUAAUAUAUCCUUUUAUUGAUCUUGAUUAACAGAACAAACUGAAUUUGAACAAGAAACAUGAUUCAAAUUAAUAACAGGACAUCAUAGAAAACAAAUAUAACCAUUUUAGUAAAUCAUACUCAGACCUCAGGCUAGUAAACUUCUAAACAAAUAAUUACUCUGAUUUAAUUACAAUGACAAUUCAGGAGAAUAAGGCAUCAAAUCUUCAUUUACCUGUAGAAUACUAAGAGGUGGAGCCACCCUAUGGUUUUGUCCAUUGUGCAUGGUCAAAGAAAAUGGCAAAAGUCGACCAAAGAGUGCUCCAGAACCGAAGACAAUGUUUGCUACAAAAGUUAAGAUAGCGUUAGCAAACAGUUGUCAACAUGCCUACCAUGUACCGGACUUCAUUUCUCUGAGCUCACUACAUCGAUUCACAUUCAUUUCUAUCUAUUAAACCUCCUAGUUGGGACAGACAACUUCCUCGGCAGAGACAGUACUUUACAACCACAUUAAAGACAUUCCUUUGAGCUCCUUUUCCUCCCUUGCUUCCAAUCACACCUCUACCCACUUUUUAAGAUCAAUUAUGUCAUCCUUAAUGUAGGAAAUUAUUUAUGAACUUCUCUUUUAGCUAUCUCAUGGAGCAAGUUGUCUUCCCCUUUUCGUCAUUAUAGCUUAAACACUCUUACUAAUCAAUUAAGGUGUUUUUUGUAAUUAUCUCAUGGUAGGAUCAUUUUUGUACCCCACUUCAUCAUACCAAUGAAUCAUCACUCGUUACUUUUUCCUGUUUAAAAAAAUAGUAGGUAUCAUCUCAUUGCAUCAUUACUGAAAGAAAUACCAUGGACUAAAACCAACUAAUAUAGGAACUCAAUGGAAAGCCGAACACUAGCAGAAAUAUUUUCCAAAAUUUUUAAGCUUCCUACUCUACUUCACAAUCAAGCAUUUCCCAGAACUAAGAGAGAACUAUUUUCAAUGCUUCUUAUCCCUAACUAAAAAGGACAAUUAGCUCACAACCCACUCAAAACAGUUGUGCAACAUAAAAUUAUCUGCGGAAGGAAGAAAGAUCAAGCCAAGACAUAGAGCCUUAUUCUAGUAGUUGCUUGAACUAAAAGUGCCUAAUAACAAAGAACAAGCUGUUGUAGUGUUGGCCCUCAUAGACUUAAAGUAGUACAUGAGCAACCACUAUAACUUCGAAUCUAAAAUAUCUAAAAACAUAAAUUUUACUUGAUCUAGAAGAUGAUGUAUCCAUAUCCUAUUGUCUAACCAUAUAAAUAAUAAUAUAUAGCUAUAUCUGGUGUUCUUUAAGAAGCAAGCAUCAUGAAUAAUGAGAUAAUGAAGAACUAUAAAAAUAAGAGCAUUCGUAAGAGAUUGUUUGAACAUAAAGACCUCCUAUUUAAUAAAAAUAAUUGAAAGUAAAAAAAAUACCUUAAAGUUCAUUACAAAGCUUUCAGCCAAACUAUUAGAUUCCAUGAGAAACUACAAAUUAGUUCUACUAAUCUGAAUGCUCUAUCUUGUAUUAACAGAAUCCAUUCAAAGAAAAUAACUGUACCUAUCCACUGAGCCCAUUGUGCAAUCAACUGAGAAAACAGAAGUGUCCAGUGUAGCUGUUGCUUCUUCCGCUCAUCGUCCCAAAUCUCUUCAAGCGUGCGCACCUUUUAUAAGAAAAACAACCAAGAAAUCAACUGCCGAAGACUACUAAAGGAAAAAAAAAUAUACAGAACACAAAAACAAAAGCACCCAGGAUACUUUAUAAAGAACAGGAUAAGAAUAAUUCGAAAGGGGGGAAAAAGUAAAAAGGCUAUAAAUUUAAAGGAAUUAAGCUCUAACCUCCGAGCUCCUAUCACUAUACUCAUGGCUGCCAAGCAGAGGCUCACUCAAACCUUCAAAGCCAGAAGUAUCAUAUUUUUCGUUCCUUUUCCCAUCAACAUCACCAUGGUGGAGCCUCCUCCUCAAAGUUUUUGAAGUCAUUAAAUAACUUCUUAUAAGAACCCUGCUACCUAUAAAUCCAAAACACCUUCAAUACCUCAUCAAACAAAGAUAAAAGAAAAAAAAACCCCAAAUACCCAUGAUCAAGCACCAAGGUAGCAUUCAAAGUCUAGUACAGAAAGAAGGAAACGAAUUUCAUGACUAGAACAUACAAUUGAAACAGAACAAAAAGGGGAGAACGUAGAGGUAAAGUUGAUACAAAAAUCAAGAAGUUAGAAAUCAGGGAAAGAAAGAAAGUAAUAUUGCCUGAAAAGUCGGGAUAGAAGGAGAAAAGGAACGAAUCAAUCAAAAAAUGGGAAGAGAAACAUAAAGCGGAGAAUGUUGGAUAGAAAGAAAUCCUCCGAAACUGCCAAAUUUAUACCAAAUUGCGUUGCUUAACAUGGGAGUGUAAGACAAUUGAAUUCGAAAUAAAUAAAGAAAUGGAGAUAAUUGCAUCGGACUCGCGCCCCAACUUGUCCUCGAAGGAAACUGCUCUUCCUUUUGCUUCCAACUUUAUUUAUUUGUUUAUUGUCAUUACUAUUAUUAUUUAUUUUUGUUUUUUUUUACAGAAAUUAUUAACUUAUUAUUAUUAUUAUUGAUUAUUAGUUACAUUUGUUUUCUUGUUUUCUUGUUUCUUAUUUUUUAAUCAUUAGUUAAAUUUGUUUUUCCAAUAGCUAAUAGGCGGAUUCUUUUUACUUUAUUUAUUUUUUCCUACAGAGGUUUUAAUUGCAGCUUAGCUUGUCUUACGAUCCAUUUGAUAUUCAUACUAAAGCUUAAUUCAACUCUUUUUUUUUUUUUUUAAUGUCAAAUGGGCUCAAUCUCAUUAGUUUUUAAUUAUAUAGAUGGUGAAGAGAGAAGGGAAGUUUUCUAAUUAUGAAUGUUCAAAUUGUUUGAAUUAUUUGACUUUUUAUCAUUGGAUGACGAAUUUAGGUUUGAUUGAAGUUUCCCAAAACUUUUGAGUUUAGACUUCAUUUAUUUUUCUUUAGAGAUUGUUACUUCCUUUAUUUAAUAACGACAAAAAUAGGGUAUAAAGGAAAUAUUGACAAUUUUUGAUAUCUGAAAUAAUCAAAUUAAAAUAGAAAAAGUGAAUUUAAUAAGAAAAAGUGAAAAUUAGGAUAUUUAAUAUAUAUAUGUAUGUAUGUAUGUAUAAAGGAAAAAGAAUAAAAAAUUGUUAAUAAGAAACAAUCAAAUUAAAAUUGGAAAAAUGAUGUUAAUUUAAUAAGGAAAGAUACUUUUACGAUUGAAAUUUGGUGGUUGGAAUAUUUUAUAUAUAUAUAUAUAUAUAUAUAUAUAUAGAAAAACAAAAAAAUAUGAGUGAGAAUUAACUACUCUAUUUUUGUCGAUUUUUUUAAUAUUAUUUUUUAAAAUAACAUUAUUAAAAAAAAUUCCAUAAAUUUAGUAGAUGUCUAAGUUUUAAAUUUAUUUCAUUAAGGACUUAAUUGUAGUCAUCAUAAUCGAAAUAACUAGUUUUUUACCGUCAACAAUGUUCUUAAAAGUAACUAUUUCAUGGUUUCGAUCAUAUGUAAACUCUUUAACAUAGGAUGUCUCCACUUCCAUGUCUUUACAUGAACAUUCAGGAUCACAUCCUUUGUAUUAACUAUAAAACAGACCACAUUUAUAGUGUUUCUCAGAAUAAAGCAUCCAACCUUAUUCAUACUCUAUAGACCGUUUGGGCUAUAUACUCGAACUUGAUCCACGCUUAUGUCUCUACAUAAAUUUUAAGUCUACACUAGAUGGCCUUCAGACCUUAGUUUAUUGGAUUCAAGAUUAUAACAUUUAAUUUUCACUAAUAAGUUCUCAAUAAUCACUUUAUUGAAUUGAAUAUAAUUUAAACUAUAAACUACGAGUUUCAAGACAUAAACUCCAACACGUUUAAGUUCUAUAAUUUUUCUUUGCCCCAUAAUGAUAACUUCAAUGAUAUAAAUAAUUAUGCAAGGUUAAGCUUUAUUUGUUACUUAGGCGUCCAACUUGUUACAGAAACCUACUUAGGAAAUAUUUCUUAAAAAAAUUAUUUCAAUAGGCGAGCAACCUUUAACUCAGACCUCUUUUGUAAGAUUUUUCUAAGUAAAAUCUUAUCAUUCACUUUUAAGCUAUGAGGACCUUGUUGCAUUUUAAAUGUGGGGGUGUGUGAGGUCCAAGCUAAAACUUUAAAAAAUUUUGAAAUCCUAUCAAGGCGUUUUAAAUAAGGUGUUUUAACAAAAGUUAAAACGUUGUAAAAAAUAAAGUAAAUUGAAAAAUUCUUUUUAUUCCAAUUCAAUUGAAUAAAACUCCAAUGUUGUUGCCUCUCACCCAAAAAUAAAGAAGCAAAGCUUCAAAAAUCUUAGAGUAAAAGUUAAAAAGUGGCGACAAGAGUUGUAGUUAUGGAGAUGAAUGUAUUCAUAGAAUACCAAUAAUUUUCCACUCAAUGCCCAACUCAAAUUAAUUAAUAGUAAAAUUUUCUUCGUGAAAAGGGAACCAAUUUUUUUAAAAAAUUUCAGCCAUUUCUUAAAAUUGAAAAGAAGAUUUUUUGGAAAUAAUGUACAAGGUUAUUUUGAGAUUUAAGCUUGCAUUGUUCUGAACCUGAAAAUAUUUUUAUAGUGGAGAGUAUGCGAUAAAAGUGGAACCUAGUCGCAAAUGAAACUAAAUCACAUCAUGAGAAGUUUAGUGGAUUCGAGUAGGAAGGUAGGGCUUAGGCAUGGAGCCUUGCUUGAGGACAAAACAUUGUUUUAAAUUUGGGGGUGUGAUAACUUGUAAAAACACAACUUAUUAUGGCCUUUUGCGUAAAAUGGAGUUAAAACAUGAGAUAAAGUGUCCGAAUGCAUAACUUUUAGGGCAAAAUCAUAAUAUCAAAAGAAUGCACCUUACAUAAGUCUUAAUGACAUCUGAUUAACUAUGUUUUUAUGUGUUUUCCACACAGGAUGGCAUAAAGAAGAAAUGAAGUGAGGAUCGCGCACUAACUCAGUGAGAAGAAUACUGGAAAUUUACGAGUCGUUGGGCAAGAUGUCGACACAUCAUUAUGCGAUAUGAUUUGCUAAAAGACAAGAGUGGUAGUGGAGCUGAUGUGACAAGAAAUGAUUACUUUCUGCAUUGACAUUAUUUAUAGACAAGGACAAUUGUGCAAGGUAGGUAAGGACAGACGUACAACAUGAGCAUUUAAUUUCUCACAUAAAGUGAGCCUGUAAAAGAAGUCUAACUCCACUAUGAAGAAUCAUCAUACAAAGGAGGUCAUCCCUACAGGAAGCCGACAAGGACAAGUUUUAGAGUUCUUCACCAUUUAUUGUAGUUUUUCUUCCUUCAUUCUUUCUCUAGUUAGCAUAUGAGUGAGAGCUUAUAGAGAGAAGUUCCCCUACCAUUUUCCCUAACUUGUAAACGAGCCAAGGGAUGCAUGAGAGUUCAUUUUGCGACUCGACUCGUAUCUGUUCUUUCCAUUUUUGUAUUUUAUGGUGUAUUGUAUGAAUGUUCUUCAUUUAUGGUCGAAAGGCCGACAUUUAUAAAUACAAUGUAUUUUUAUCCAUUGUCUCUCUUCCAUUUCUUCUCUAUUAAUCUUGUUGAUGAGUUUUAAGUAGUUUAAGUUUAUGUUUUGUACUUGAUAAGGAUUCUUUUAGUUAUAAGUCUCAUCAUGCCUAGUUGAGCUUAGCUCAAUCGCUUGGCCAACAUUGGUGGCCAACUGCUCGAGAGAGUAAGUAUCAAGGACAUAGCUAAACAUGCACAAAAGGGAGCUUGGAAACAAACUUCAUUUUGGCAUUGUGACUCCAGCCAUUUGUGUCCCAAAAGAAGAACAAGUGUGGUAUUUAGGCGCUGAGAGGCUGCUUGUCUUAAAUAGAGAGUCAAAUGUGAUGCUUCUAAGUGAGGGAGCUUAGAUGUAUAUGCUUGGUUUCUCUUUACCAUUUGUGUCUCGAAAGGAGAACAAGUGUAGUGUUUAGGCGUCAAAAAGUGGCUCGCCUUAAAUAUAAGAUGGUCGAGUGAUCUACAUCGCAUCAAGAACAUGUCGCACAACAUAGAUCGCCUAGAAUACUAAGAUAUUCCUUCAUCCCUCUUAAUGCAGAUUAGUUCGCACAUUUCGUAAUCUUUCCCUUUCAUCCCCUUUACAGAAUCCUCUGUGUAAAUAAAUAAAUUAGUAUAGUUUUAUACUUAUACUACAUAGAAUUUGUAUACCGCUUGGUUAAGAAGUAAGCAUUAUAAUUAAGCUUUGAUAGGAAUUUGUUGUGUUCGACCCUGACUUACCCAAGAAACCUUUCGCUUCAAGCAUGAGAAAAACUUGUAUUAAACGUUAAUCAUGCAUGAAGCAACACAUAGGUAGGAGAUGCACCUUUUAUCUCAUAAUCGUAGCCUAGACGCUUAUAUUAGUCCAUAAGUAGAGCCUUUCAUGAUAAAUAUUUACGAAUUAAUAACGAACAAGCAAGGAGAUGUUCUGAAGAAGCGAUGAAUGAAGACAAUUUAUAAUAAAGACAAAACUAAAAGCAACCUCACUCUAAAAUUUCUCAGGACAAAAAGCAAAAAGAAGUUAGUGUUAAGACAAUAUUUGAUUUACUUUUUAUAGCUUAGCUCUCCUAUUAUUUCACAACUUAUUCAUUAAAAUUAUCAUUUUAUAAGAGAUAAUGAUCUAGAAAUUUCAACGACUCUAACGCAAUGAAAAUCGCUUAAUUUGGCGCUAAAACGAGCGAAAACAGGCUAAAACAUUAUGAAGGACAUUUGUAAUUUUCUAGAAGUUAGGUGCCUCCCCUAGUGGUGCGAUGUCGAAGCACGGGGUCAAAAAGGUAGUAGCUGUCAAUGAAGCAACAUCUUGGCACCCGAAUCAUUUAUGGUCAAGCGUUGUAGCGUUAUGAACUUUGAUGAAAAAAAUAAUGCAUACGCUUUUUGCCUGCCAGCCGACCUAAAUAACUUACUUAAGCCCAUUUUUGCCUUAUAAACUUAGAUUGGCAUUUCAUUUUUUUUUUAAUUUGUACUAAAAUUAGACUAAAAUAUCAUUGUAAAAUUCUCUCCACAAAAUUAUUAAAGUUAUCUCAACUUUCUUCCAAGAAAUAUAAAGCCUUUUUUGUCAAAUUCUUUGCGGCUACUUUGAAGACUAAGGGCAACUAAGGUAACUUUCUUGGGAAUGGAUGUUCUUUGUAAUUUUCCUUGACAAUGCAUCUUUCAUUGCUUUUUAAUUUGAUUUUUGGGUAAAUUUCUUUCUUAAUUUUGAUAAAUAAUUCUUAUUUUGUUGGUUUGGUCAUCCAAGAAUGCAUGAAUUAAAAAUUAAUUACUAGAGACGCUAAGCACACCUUUUGAAGUAUUGUUUGAACAUCGUUGAAUAAAUCUUUAACAUGUCUAUCCUAUUGAUUUCUCUUCAACUUUCAAUGUGAAUUUACCAAAAUAAUGUUUCUUGAGAUAAAGAGAUUCCUUGCUCUUAAGAGUCUCCACAUUGAUGCCUGUGAUCUCUAUGCAAUUUUAAAAGAACUUGUGAAACCGCUAAGAUGAAAACACACUACAAGAAAAAUGGUCUACGACUACAGUUAUUUACUGUCGCGAACAAAAUCCAUGACAAUUAUUUUCAGUCAUAGAAGCGGGAGUCAUGGAAAGUCCUUCUAUGAUAGUUUUCAAAAACUGUCGUAAUAACUUAUUUCAUGACAUAAAAUAAAUGUCGUUAGUUAGCAUUCAACGACAUCAAAUAACUGUCACAUUUUAUUUGAUGACAAUAAACAACAAUCAUCAUUUAUGUAUUAACGACAGUUGAAUAAAUGUCGUGAAUUCGUUUAUUGUGACAUGUUUUAAAUGUCACGAAUAUGUCAAUCGCGAAUGUUUUUUUUAAAUGCCAUUGUUUUGCUAUUGACGACAUUUUUUUUCUGUCAAAGAUAGGGCAAUCGUGACAAUUAAUUUUAUAAGAAAAACUAUCAUUGUUUUCGUAUUCACAACAAUUAAUAACUGUCACAAAUUCAUAUAUUACGACAUGUUUUUCCUGUUGCAAAUUACUCGAUUACUACAGUUUUUUCUUGUUCUCCUUGCCACUUCGCUAUUACACGAACCAUUUGAAUGACAAUAAUGUAGCCGACAAUGACAAUUUUGAAUUUAUAAUAUUGACACCCAUAUAGAAAAAAAUAGCCGACAUUGUAAUAUAUAUAUAUGCUAUAAUACAAUUUAUAAUAUUCGUACAUUUCCAAUCAAGUUCCAACAAUUUACAAGUACGAAAUCCCAGCUCUUAAUCAAAAAAUAUUUUAAAUAGCAUCAGAAUACAUAUAACAAGAUUUUCUGCUAAAACAUAAACGACCAACCGAGAAUGUUCGUUCUGAAAAUGUUCUUUGAAAGUAAACUCAUGAAGUUGUCGACUCCAGUUGAACCUACAAAGACAACAUGAAUAUAAGCAUCCAUCAUAGAACAAGAUAGUACAACUCUUAUAGAAAAUUUCAACAUUGAGCAUUACCUAUCACUACAUACGUCGAUAAGAGAAACAACUACAUAGCAGAGCACACAUGUAGAAUAACAACAUCACCUUAACAUCCACUUGGUCUACAAUAUUGGAACUUUUUACAAAUUACAACUCUUGUAUCAUUACUCUUUAGAAAAUUUAGCUGGAUAUAAAUAAGUAAUCAUAAGUAAUAAUCGAGAUGAAUGAAACGUAAGAAUCCAUUAGUAGUUCACUGUCAAUAAGGUUGGAAGAAACGUUAUCCAACAAGAACCGAAAAGUUUCCAUCUUAAGGAGUCAAACACUUUCAAAUCUACAAAUAUCAGAAAGAAGACAUUUUUCAUGUGCAAUCCACUUCAGUUAACGAAGCCAAGAAAUAUUAAGGUACUAGGAAAAUGAAACUAGAACAACUUGUAUCAUUUAUGGCUUGAUAGAAAUUAAAGAUCUCCUAGUUUCUUAUUAAAAAAAAGCCCUACCAAUGAGUACAAACAUGAAAUCCAUGACAAUUUACACAAGUAGCAAUUUAGCAAUAGCAAUAAGUACAUACAUAACACCCAUGACAAUUUACACAAGUAGCAAUAGUCAACCGGUAUAAGCAUACUAUCCAUGAUAAAAAAAGAUUGUAGCAUCUUGAGUUGCUAGCCUUCAUAAGAUAUAUACCUUUAUUGCCUGGCGUGCUCCAUUUCUAUUGGAUGAUUCUCAAUUCUCUAUGAUCAUACAUCUGAAGGUUGAAUCACAUUUUCAUCAUGUAAUCAAACUUUAGUGAUUGGAUUUGGACGUUUAAGAUCAUGCAAAAUAAUAAGCACAAAUGUAGAUAUGCAACGUAAUAUGUUUACAAUAAGAAAACUAAAACUUCUAAAUGAAUUAUGAAUCUUUAUACACCCCGAGUAUGAUGAUAUGUAGAAAUUCUUCUCCUAGAUUCAAUGUAUAGGGAUGAAUAUUGUUGAUGGAUACCUUACUAUGAUUUACUUACAAUGUACAAUCUACUUGAAGGUAGUCGAGGUUCUAAAGUACCUAAAUACCUCGUUCCUUCAAAUUGGAACCGAUAGCUCUGUGUUUGGCAGCAAUUUCAUCUGCCUCUGCCUUCAACUUUUCUUCUCCAUGCUUUGCUUCAAUAACAAUCUUCUUUUCUUAUGUUGUUUUGUGUAUCAAUGUUAUUUUAUUCUUCAUUUUCUCAAUAUACUCUCCCUUCUUCUUCUCAAAUUUUGCAUGCUCUCGUUACAAAAUCAAUCCAAAUGAAAUCGACAAAAAAAAAAAAAAAAACAUAGUUGUAAAGAGCAGUUCCGUCAAUGAAGAGAAAUAUCGAAUUACAGAUUUUGGAAUUUCCUCUGAGGUUGUGAGUUUAUAUUCAAUGAAUUUUUCUAAAAUCUAGAACUAAAAUCGUAAAUAGCAUCUACAUACUAUACAAAUAAAACUUAAACACAUUACAUAUAUUUUGUUUUUUAAUUACCUCAAUUUGUUUUAGUUCAGCCUCAACAGCUGCUUUCUUGUUGUUCUCCCAUGACCCAAUGCUUUCCAUUCAGAAAAACACAUAUGUAAAGCAAAUAAUAGCAUCAAAGGGGUUGAAUUCCAUUGAGCUCUCUAUUCAACUCUUCAGUCUCAAUCAGAAUUUUAGAAUUAUUAACCUAAGGGCUGAGAAAUAUAAAAUAAAUUUGGAAACAAAAGAAAAUUCGAUUGAGCUCUUUAAGGAGGAAGCAAAAGACUGUAUUAUUUUGAAAUUAACUUUCUCACAAGAAGCAACAAUCUCUUCUCACAAACCAGUAACAUAGAUUCCCCACUGCAAAUAUGGAGAAAAGAACUAACAUCAACAAAGUAGAUAGAAUUUUGGACAGAGAGUAACAUAACAUGAAGUUAGGAACAUGCAAUAAACAAAAUCUCAUGAAGAUUAAGCACAUCAAUACCCACAACUAGAUCCUAAAAAAAAAUAAGAAUUUGCAACUAGAUUCUGAAUAAUAGCAUAGCUUAUAAUUCCAAUGAACACCAAUAAUUAUCCUACUGUGCAAACAUGUUUGUAAUGUAAAUCUACUGUGCAAACAUGGAAAUUACUUACGUAGAUUGGAACCCACAAUUUUCAUUGAAAAUCUACUUCCUUGAACAAAUGAAAUCAAUUAGUUCAAAUGAGUAACAAACUACAAACAAGUUAGCUUUAAUGAACCGUAUCUACAUUAAGAUAAUAUAAAUAAAAGACAAAUUCACUCUCCCGUAUCUACCUAUGUACUUUGAAAUUAGUAUAAAUUUUUAUGUAUUUCUUAGAUUCAUUAUUAUAGGACAAUUGGUUCUUCAACCUUUAGGUUGAUGGUUAAAUUAAUUAGCAAUGCUUCAUUAUUGAGUGAUAGGAAAAUCAGAAGAACAUUCCAUUCCCAUUUUUAUCCUUUGAGAGAAUUAAUUUCUUGUUAUUGCGUUAGUCACAAUUCCAACAAAUCUUCAAAAAUAUUUAAUUUCCUUCUUUAAUUUCUUGUUUGAUUACCAUGAAACCCCUUAGUUACAUGAACUUCUUUCAUUCUCAAAUUCUUCUUUUGUAUCUUGAUUUGUAUAGAACUUUUCACGAAGUCUUCUGGGUUCGACCUCAUUCUUACUCUACAUUACAUUCUUUUUGUUAUAAGAUUGGGUUAUAUUUCUUCGAAGGGUUUAAGGUUGUUGUACUUUUACCACCUAAUUGAUAGCAUAUUAUUGAUUAUUGAUAUUCUUUUUCUUGCUAUUGCACAAUUCUUGCAUCUUUUCUUUUAAUAAACGACCUCUACUUCAAAAAAUCAAUUAGUUAGGCACGAAAGUAGUCCAGAAUGUGGCGAUGUGUAUGUUCUACUCGUCCAUUUUGUUAAUAGGUAUGCAGGUUGUUUGGCUAGUUUGCAAUUUAAACAACAAAUGGAACAAACUUGGUAGUAUUAUUUGAAUUUUUAAGAGAGUCAGUGACUAGAGUAGAGAUAGACAAACACAGCGAAGUGAGCUCAAACAAUCUUCUUGCUUUAUACCAAUCAUUUGCUCCGUCUACGAAUCUUGAACCUAACAAUCAUUAGGUGAAAAAAAAUAGUUAGACAAAUAUCACACGAUAAUCCCACUAACGCAAGAUUAAAGGUCAAGUUUGGAACAUUAUAGGUAUUGGAAAGGCCCAAAGUGGAGUGUCAACUGUGCCAACAUGAGAUAGAGUCAUACACUUACCAUUUGUAGCAUAAAUAGAAGGAAAUGAUUUUGCAAGGGUAGAUGCAAUCAUAAGAGAAAAGUCAAAAGUCAUAUGAUUACAACAUGCAAAAUCAAGAACCCAUCAAUUACCUGAUGAGAUGAGAAUAGUAGAAGAAAUGGACGUAAUUAAUUGAUUUAUAAGCUUUAGAGAUCACUUGUUUGAACCUGAGAAGAGGAGGGGUCAACAGGUGAGGUGACAACAGUAGUAAGGGAACUAGUUUUAGUAAUAUUCUAGGGCUUCGUAAAAUAACUAAGGUUUUGGUGGUCUUGUGGGACAAUUUUUUAGAAUGACCAUGCUUAUGACAAUACCUACACUCAAUUUUAGGACAAUAAAAAAAAAAUUGUGGCCAGAGAGCUUACAAAUUUUACAAAAUGUAGUUUCAUAAUUAUUGUGUGGUUGAAUGCCGGCUAAUGUUAUGUUUGAUUGUCCAGAAGAGAUAAUUGCAUGUUAUGUAAUUACAACAAAAAUUUGUGAAUAUGUUAUGUUAGGCUCUAAGUUUGCGACUAGAGUUGACGCGUAGGUUAGGUUCAUACGAUAAAAGGGACACAAUCCUACAUAAGUGUUGCUAACUUCAUUAAUUCAUCAUUUUGAGAACAAGUUUUCUUCUUUCUUGCCCAAAUGUAAGCAAAGAGGGAGGUUUUCUAGGUAAGUCAGGGUCGAACACAUGAAAUUAGCGAUCCUAUUAGGUUAAUCUUGCGCUCCAAACUCAUGGGGUAUCUAUACAGUAUAAUUUGAUAUGCACAUUAGGAUUUAUCCUAUAUAUUUACACUAAGUGCGAUAGAGUAGCAAGAUGGAAAUGGUGGUGGAAUGAAAUGAAAUAUGUGUUUUGAUUUAUGUUCUAAAACUUGUAGAUUGUAAAUAUAAUUCAUUGGCCGUUUUUAAUUAAAUGUUAAUAAUUAUAUGAUCAGUUUUGUUUUAAUAACCAAAGUCCAAUAAACUAACAUCCUGAGUUGUUUAAUGAGUCUUGAACAGUAUGUAGAGACAUACAAAGAUCAAUAUAAUGUUCGAGAUCAACUUAAAGGGUCUAUAGUAUAGGGAUAAAGUUAGGUACCUUAUCCUGGUAACAGUAUGGAUACAACUCCCUUUGUAUUUGAUACAAACGCAAUGAUCUAACGUGUUUGUGUAUGUGACAUACAAGUGAAGGUAUCCUAUGCAAUUAGUUUGCAUAAGACCGGAUCAUGAAAUAGUAACCACUAGAUGUAACUCUAUUAACUAGUUAGGUUUCUAUUUCAUUAGGAUGAUUUAAGUAACUUAAUCUUAAUCCUGAGUGUAUUAUGAACUCUGGUACGCGAGAGAUUGUCCUUUGAUUUUUGUACGAAUGAGAGUGGCCAGAUUGCUGACUUAAUAUGCUUAUCAUUUUGGGGACAAGAUCGAGUCGGGGGCUAGAAACAUAAUCACACAAGAUGGAAUUCACUCAUUCCCGACUUUGUGGUAGUAGAUGAUAUACAUACACCCUAAACAUAUAUACACAUACGCAUACGAAUACAUAUACAUACAUUUUACACAUAAAUUCAAAAAAAAAAAAAAAAAAAAAACCUGAAGUCGACGGUGGUGGGCGGUAACGGCGGCAACAACGACAACGACAAGGGUAGUGGAAUCUUCUUCUCUCUCUCUCCCUCUCGAUUUUUCUUUUUCUUUCGUGGGUUUACAAUUGUGAAUAGGUUCUGUGCAAAAAUAGGCUACACUUUCCCCGACGUAUUCAAAACCAUCGGAGAAAGGGACUUUUCGCGACGUCAACAACAGGCGCGUCGCGAAAAGUUAAAAUAUUGAUUUAUUAUUGUCACUUUUUGUGACGUCAUUCCCCAUCACGUUGCAGAUUAUCUUCACUUUUCGCGACGUCAACUACCCAACGUUGCGAAAAGUGGAACAUUGAAUUUAUUAUUUCAACUUUCUGUGAUGUGUGUCAAAUAAACGUCAUGGAAGGUUUAACGUGUCGUUUCAAAUUCAACUUUCUGCGAUGUUUAUCUAACACACGUCGCAAAAAGUUGAAACGUGUCAUUUCAAAUUCAACAUUCCAGAGUGUCUAUCUGACACAUGUCGCAAAAAGUUGAAAUGUGUCGUUUAAUAUUCAACUUUUUGUGACGUCUCUCUGACAUACAUCGCGAAAAUUUGAAAUGUGUCAUUUCGUAAUUGACUUUCCAUGACGUAUUGCAGAUGGCCAUCAUGGAAAGUUUGAAAAUAAAUCAAAGUUAUUACUUUCCGCGACGUCGUCCUGCCACACAUCACAAAAAGUUUACUUAUUAAACUUAAUUUUACACUUUUCGCGACGUGUCGUUGUGCACGUCGGCAAAAAGUGAUCAACUCCAACGCACCUUUCGUCGACGUCGUUUUUGGCGUCGCGAUUGGUCUGAUUUCUUGUAGUGUGUUUACCGAUCCAAGUGAGAUUUGGGCGAUUCUUAAUGUCCCAAUUUUUUAAUUGUUCACCGAACUUAUUAUCAUUCUCGGUGUACAAUUGAUUGUAUUAGUAAUAUCAUUAGUAACAAUGCGCCAUAAUCUGCACCAAUUAAAAAACUCUUCAUUUAAUGGGCCCACGUAAGAUGAAGGUCCCGUCAAGAAUAAUAUUAAUAGGAUGAAACAUGUGUUCUUUUUUUCAUCAAAUAGAAGAUAUUUAAACGCUGCACUUGAAGCGUAUGCACACUGCAUUAUGAACAGAUUUGGUUUGAACACAUGGUUUGAACACAACGAAACUGUAUGAGAGACAAUUUUGGCAUGAUGGACAAAAUAGGGUCUCAGCAAGCAAAACAUAUUUGUGACAUUAUAUCCCCAAUUGAGUUGAACAUAUCUGUGACGAUAGAUCUUCUUUGCAACACUGACAAACGCAAAACGACGAUCUGGGCCACAACGUGUAGAACAGAUUUGUGCGAAGGAGGUAGCAACAAAUCUUCCUUGAAGCUAGGCAAAACAACUAGUCUAUGAUACAUAUUUGUGGGUUAUGAAUCUGUGGUACUAGUUGAACAUGGAACGACUAAUCAGAGCUAAGCAAAACGUGGAUCUAGGCAAAGCUAGAAACGAAAAAUCUACAUGACUUUUGACUAAGCUAGGCACUUGCACAGAGCUCAGUGGCUUCAAUUUGGUGUCUUCUAACGGGUCAAAGCUUUGACAAUUGGUCAAAGUUCGAGUCGAAGCUUUGACAAUUGGUUAAAGUCGAAGGCAAUGACUAGGUCGAAAUAUUUGAUCUAAUACCAUGUGAAUGCUUGAAUAUUUUAUUAAUAUUGAUAUGUAUUUGCGUAGGAGAAUGAUGCAAGAAUAAAUACAAAAGAUAUGUAGUCACAUAAGUAAAGACUAAAAAAUAGGAUCUAGAUUUGCCUAAACUACACCAUUUAUUUUAACAUAUAAUAACAUUACAAGAAACUGUACUUUGUAUACAUCAUCUAAACUCUAAACCACAUAUGCACAAGUUAUUUUCAAGACCAAGUAAUUAAGAUUUUGUAUAAAGCCAAGGUGCUUGACAUCUCCAGCCUACAGCAACCAUUUCGUCGGGAUUUACAGUCAUAUUUGGAUCUUUCCCUGUAAUUUUCUUGAUGGGGCUCCUAAAUUGCUGCAAUACGAGUUGAGCCACCAACAAGAAUGACUUCAUUUAUAUCUUUGAACAACAACUGUGCAUCCUUUAAAGCCGCUUCCACCAGUGAUCACAACCUUAAAAGAUAAUAUCGAGAGUCAAAAAUGAAUUUAAACUCAUGCAUGUAGGAGCAAAAGCACAAAAUUAACAAAUGGGAACACAACCGACCUAUCUAGCAAGUCUGAACACAAUUAUUCAAACUUAACCCUAGUAAGUGUCGUAUCAAUAUGUUUAGGGCCAUCGCUGGUCACAGUGAUAAAUGGUAAACUGAAACAAAAGGUAUAAUCAGAAACAAUAAAUAAAUUGGUCAAUCAAUCAAAAGGUGAAGGAAAAGAUGUUGUCAUACCUAAUAUUGGUUUGUGUUAGAGAUGAUAGCUCAAUCUUUGCCUUCUCAGCAGUUUAGGUUAGACGUUGCAGCGCCUGUUUGUCUUUCAAAAGGUUUACUCCUUCAUCCCUCUUAAAGCUCUCAGCAAGCCAACCGACAAUUCUCUGAAAGUAAUAAAGCAGAAAUGUCAUUUUCUGCAAAUAAAGAAACACAUGGAAGUUAUAGGAAAAAUGAGUGACUCAACCUUGUCAAAAUCAUUGCCACCCAAAUGUGUAUCGCCUGAAGUAGAAAGAACCUCAAAUACACCAUCUCCAACCUCAAGGACUAACGAGGGAAAAAUUAGUCAUUAAGAACAAUCAAAGCAAAUGCAAAAGAUACAAGAGAUGUAGGGCACAUUGUUUUCUGCAUACCUGAGACAUCGAACAUUCCACCGCCAAGAUCGAAAAUGAGAAUGGUCUAGUUGGUUUUCUUGUCAGCCAUAAGCAAGGGAAGCAGCAGUUGGUUCAUUGAUGAUGCGAAGAAUUUCAAGACAGCAAUCCGACCAGUAUCUUUCGUCGCCGUCCUUUGAGAGAUUGAAAUAUGCUGGUACUGUUACAACAGAUUUUCCUACUCGAUCAUUCAAGAACUUUUGCUCUGACAUGCACAGAAGUGAGCUCAUUAAUGAUUGACAUGAAUUACCUGGCUGAUGAUCAGUGUUUUGAUUUCUUCUUAGAUUUCAAGGAUGUCCUGCCGUAUGCCAGAUUCCUAAAGUGAGAUAAUUUAAGCUCAGCUUGACGUUGUUUUCUCCUGGCUUUCCGAGAUAUAUUGCCCUUGUCAGCAUUAUUUACUUUGUCAUUCUCAUUGUCAUCCAAAAUGUGCACGUUGGAGCAAUUUUUCGCCCUUCUCUUCCCAAUAUCUUUCUGUUCACUAGAUUGUUUGCCUCUAAGGAGCUCCCUAGACCUCAUUUUCAGGCGCUGUCUAGUACUAUUUGGCAUCUUCCAUUCUUCUUUAUAAGGAGCCAACUUUUUCAUAGAAACGAACUGAUUCAACUCCUUGUCAUCCAUUGCCAGGAUUUCAUCAGUACUCAAUCCAUAACGAUUAGGUUGUAUUUUGGCGUACUUAAACCUCGUCUUCAAGUCUCCGACUGUAUCCUCGUAAUCUAAUUUAUAAUACUCCUCCAUCAUGGCUUCCUUGGCUUUUUGGUACAGAGAUAAUUUACGCUUCCUCUUUCUUGAGCCCUUUUCAUCCUCAUUGCCUUUUUCUUCAUCUUCUUCAUUAUCUUCAUUGCUCAUAUCAUUAUCAAUUUUAUGGCUUAAACUCCUUUGCCUAGCUGCAAAGAAGCCAUCACCUGACUCAGAGGAGGUCCACCCUUUUGGCAAUCCAAGCAACUCAUCCUCUUUGUCGAAAUCAGGUUUCUCAUGCUCACCAUUGCCUUCAUCAUCCAUAUCACUUCCAAACCCAGCAUCAAUGUCUUCUUUCUCAUAAUAUUCUUCACUAAAAGCCACUUUCAUCAUCCUGUCAUACUCUUCAGGAUCAAAAUCUUCAUCUAAAUCUUUAAUAUCCAAUAAGCAAUUCUCGUCCUCCCCAAGUCCUGCUGUUUCUCUAAUCUUCCUAAGCUUCUGCUUUACCUCCUCCUUCUUCAAAUUUUUUAAAUGCUUCAACUCCUCCUCUCUCUCUAAUCUUGCAAUCUCCAUCCUCUCUUCCUUAUUCUUUCUCUGCUCCUUCCUCGAAUUCUUCUUUUUCCUAACUGACCCCUCAAUGGUCCUACUAUGCCCCAAAAUAGUAUCUUCUGCAUUUUCUUGGAACCGGUAUUCAUAUUCCUCUUGUUUUUCAAUCUCUUCCUCGUCCUCGGAUAGCAUGUUCAACUCCUCUUCCUCAACCUUUGCAUCUUCACCAAUCCACAGUUUAUUCUUAAAAUACUGUUUCAAGAACUUUGAAUUUUCAUCCAAUUGGUCAUCCCCAUCUCCAAAAUACUCGUCCAACUUCCUCUCAAAUUCUUCAUUUUUUUCCUCUUCCACUGUACCUCUCUCCUUCACUUUUAACAAUUCCUCCUCAUCAUUUUCAUCUUGCAAUUCGGCUGCCUCCAAAAAUGCCUUGCGUAUUUCCUCUUGCUCCGUAUCGUAAAUCUUCACAUUUUUAGUAUUCUCAUCAUUGAAUUCAGGACCCUCUUCAAUCAAAUGCUUCGCUACCACAUCUUUCAAAUACAUACUACUUUUCUUCUUUUCUGUUAAACUACCUUUGACGCCAUCAUUAUCCUUGCCAUGGCUGUCAUCAUCUGAAUCAAAAAGCUUGGCCUCUUUCUGUUUGAGUGUCGGAUCCUUCUUCUUUACCUUGAUUAAUGCAUUGAAGAACUUCAAGUCCUUCCUAAAGUUUUGGCUAUCUUCUUCCUCUGAAGAAGAUGAAUCAGAUUCCGAGCUUUCUGAUUCAGAGUCUUCAAUUAGACCCUUCUUCUUUAGCUCCUCUAAGCGCUGAAGAUCCUCUCGCUUCUUGUUAUGCUCAAACCUUUUAGCAUAAUCCUGAUUAAUUUCUAUCUUUGAGUUGUCAUUGUCAGAAUCACUUCCAUCAAAUAAUCGUAGACCCAUUGUUUCUGCAACAAGAAAAUGCUUCAAAUUAGGAUUUUCACGAAUACCAUAAAUAUUGAGCACUACAUGUAUAAAUUGGUAAGACCCUCAAUCUUUCAAUGUAGUGCAAAUUUUAUCCAUAAGAAGCAACAAAAUUGUAUUCUAAAAUUUAUAAAGAUUGUUAACUAAUCAAAUCAAUUAUUUAAAUUACAAAUAAAAACUAGACGUACCAAAGCAAACAUGACCCCUAUAGAGUAAAUGGAAAAGGAAGUACAACAAUGAUUGUACAUCAAAAAAAAAUGAAAGGCAAAAACAAUAGCUUUCACAGUACAUAAAAACGCAGAAAAAAAGUUUAAGGAGGGAUGAAACAGAAAUUGUAAGGGAGAGAGAGAAUGAACAUGAGCGACAAAAGAAAAUUUGAAAAUUACCAAACCAAAAUUUAAUCGAAAUUAUUCAAAUGCAAGCAUAGCCAAUUCCAUACAUUCGUUUAAAUUCAGCAUAUAUUCUAAUUGUCUAGUUACACAUGUGCAACAUCCAUAAAAGCAAUUCUUCUUAUACAACAAAAUGUAGUAUUAUAACUUUGUAGAUACUGAAGGGAGGAUCUCAUAUGUUCCCUUAAUUCUAAUUGAAGUUCAUUGUCUAAUCAAUAUAGUCGUUUCUUUAGAUAAAAUCCUACCCAUAGGUAAAAUCCUACCCAAGCUUAGAAAGCAAAUUGAAGAAGUGAGACAGAGUUUGACCAUACUUUACUACUAGAGCAAAUACAAAAAAUAGCAGACAAUUAAACAAAAAGAAGGCUCUACCAACAAUACUAGAUGGGAAUAUAACAAAAUGGAAUACACGAAUUCUUCAAAGUCGCAUAAUGACUCAUAUGUAUAGCAAAUGGACAUACUCAUAAGCAUAGGGUCACCUAUCAACAUGCUAGUUGUUACAAUGCCAUUAUGUUUAUAUAUCCAAAACACAUAUAAUUCAAGAACAUAAUACUUUAAAUCAAAAGAAAUAGAUAUAGUACAUAUGCACACAGCCAGCGUUUCAAAGCAACAUUCAAACUCAAUCCAAAACACCAAAAGUCAAGACUAAACUACAAAUAGAGUACCCAAAAAAGUUAUAAAUAUUAUAGACUAGGGGCGUAAUUGGGCUGGGCCGGGUUGGGUCUUUUUUUUUUACUAAGAAAUACACAGGCCACACCAAUCUUUUUAACAAUAAAGUAGGGAAAUUUUUUAAGUAAAGCAAUUUUUUUAAACAAAAUCAGUUCCAAAUCUAUCAAUUUGGAAUCUUUUUAACUAAGAAAUACACAGGUCAUCUCCUACCGUUGGUGACAAAAAUAAAGGUGAUCACAAAAAGAUUUAAAUAUUUAUACUCUUUCUAUAUAAGAUUUUCUACAAUUACAACGGUAUUUCAAAAAUUUCUAUAUAACACAGUUUCAACAAUUAAUUUCAUGAAGUUCUAUAUUUCAACGGUUUCUAAACCCUCUGUAUACAAAUGCAUUUGUUAGAUGCUUGGUUCUUAGAUGCUUCGAAAACUUAUGUUUCACUAUUCUUGAUGAUACAACCGUCAAACAAAUUCAUUUUUCCUAGAACCGAGUAUCUAAGGACGCAAUAAACAUUCAAAAAUCAAAGAGAAAAUCAAAACCAUACCUAUUAAUCAUUCUUUGAAAUUCAAACCAAACAGAAAAGCAGCCCAUUCACCUACUUAAGCAUCUCAAAUUAAACAUUGACUUCAGCGAAACCAAAUUUAACAUUAAGCAACACAAUUAAUUGGGAUUCAAAUUGGAAUUUAACUCAACAAGCAUGUUAAUUGAAUAAAUUUCACAAAGAAGAGGAUGUUUGCACAAGAAUCAUGGAAUUCAAAAGUAAAAAUCCUAAACAUAUUUAAAUCAAACACUGAAAGAAGAAAACUUCAGGCGUAGAAGUAUCAUCUGAAAUUUUAUCUGAAAUAAAACUUGAUGAAGAGUAAUUUUAUCUGAAAUAAAACUUGAUGAAGAGUAUCUUUAACUCCACGCCUCACUACUACUCAUUGGCUUUCUCUUAAAAUUUCAUUCCCCACUUCGAUUAGAUCACUCAGACAAAGACCCUUCUUCAGUUGUUUGAAUUUGAACUAAUAAAGAAUGUGACAUUACAUUACUGAAUCGUGAAAUGCAGUAUAAUAUAUUAAACUAAAUCGCGUGAAAAUACCUCAAAAGCUUCAACAGACACCGGAGGCUACCGUAAAAACGAAACCCACACCGGACAAACGAAGGAGAAUGAAGAUGAAGGAAGGAGAGAGACCUACGAAGCACGAAGUACGAACGACGGCUUCAAACAAAAACGAAGGUAUACCGGUUUCUUUAAAUUUAACCUAAUCGGGGUGAACCGUCAACCGAACCGACGGGUUCAGUUUGGUUUGGUUCGGUUCAAUAUUAUUAUUCUUGUAAACCAAACCAACCCAAGCCGAAUCGAGUUUAUCAGUUUUUGUAGUACCCAAAAAUUAAGAUAAUUUUAAUUAUCUUAAAUUUAUUUAAUUAUGUUGAAUUUUGGAUGUUGGAUGAGAAUGGUAUAAAUUUGUUGAAAUUAAAAUUAAUUAAGUAUUUAUUAGAAUAAUAUAUAAUUAAUUACUGAGAUUGAAAUUUUUGGUAUUGUUAUAUUGGAUGGUUAAAGAUGGAAUGAUUUUGAUGAAAUUUAAGGUUAUUGGUGACUUAUGUGUGUUUUAAGUAGGUUAUGGAAGAUUUAUGAUAAUUAUAUAUAUUGAAAAAGAAAUAUAUAAUUAUUAAGUGUUGUUUUAGAAAUAUUAAAAAAAAAAAAAAAGUUGAUUUGAUGAACAAUUAAUGGAGAAAAGAGAAAAGACUUAGGUUAAUUGGAAAAGGGAAAGGAAUAAUGCUAAUAACAAUAAAUGUUCCCUGCCCGAGCCGAUUGCUUCUCCCAGCCGAACCAUAAUCCCCUUCCCAAGCCAAGUUGCAUUGUUUUUGGGUUACUCUCAAAUAUCAAGUUCAUUACUUUGGAAGUAAUUUAGUUUUGGAUUUAAGUUGCAUUUUAUUUAAUUUAGAUUUAUUUGUUUGAAGGUCAUUGACAUUUUGGAAAAAAAAUGGUGUUGUUAUGAAGUUGUUCCCAUUCAAGGUUGUCUUUGCUUCAACCUUAGCCUUUGGGUAAGUUUGGAUGCUUAAGUAAAUAUUUGAUUGAUGGGUUGACAAAAGUAUUUAUUUUAAUUUUGUGUAUGAUUAAGACUCAAUUAAUUGGGAAUUGACCGUUAGGAAAUGACUAUAUUAUUUUAGCUAGCCUCCAGGUAAGAGACUCUUCUAUGUAAAUUUCGACAUUAAAGCUUGUAUGUAAAUUUCGUAUUUGAGAUGACCGUUAUAAAUGGCUACAUAAGUGACCGUUAUGUAUGGCGGAGAGAUGUAUGACUGAGAUAUGUUAUGACCAACAUACAUUAUGAAUGAGAUAUGCUAUGAAUGAGAUAUGCUAUGAUUGAGAUAUUUUUUACUGAGUUAUGAUUUUAUGAUAUGCUAUAUAUGUAUAGACUAUAGUGUUUUGUUAGCUUUGUCUGUUAGAGUUGUACCAUAUGGGUGUUCCUCGAGAUCACCACAUAUUUAUGCUUGUGUGGCUAGGUUUUAUGAGUGAUUCGAUGGGAUCACUUACAGCUUGACUCUCCUUUAGGGUGAUUCCUUCGGGUUCACUGAGGGUCUAGAUGUGUCCCUACGGGAUCACUGGAUAAUGUGCAUUCGGGAGCACAUUAGUUAUGCGGUACCUUCUUACAGGACUCUAACGAGAAGUUAACAGACACGUAGCGAACUAACAGUAAGUCCCUUACUAAGUAUAAAUUUAUACCCUCUUUUCUAUGUUUAAUUUUUCAGGCAAUGGUAGAGGUAAAGACAAGCUGGCGAAUGACAAGAAGUGACUGUGGUUCGCCAUAGGAGACAGUUUAUGUUUUCUUUCGCAUUUAUGUUUUCAAUAUUUAGUUUUUCAGGAAUUUAUUUCAUAACUCAUGUUUACUUUUAGAUAUUUCUUUUUAAAUAGGGCUCGAACUAAUAUUUUAUUUAUUAUUUUCUUUACAUACUUUAUUUAUAUUUUAUGAUUAAAUAUUUGAAACGUUUUUUUUAAACUUAGUGUUUUCUUUGAUUUAAAUAAAAAAAAUAUGUAUUUGUUUUAAUGGUAAUGACCUCAGCUUAGUAUAAAAUGUUGAAUCGUUAUAGGUUCAGCUCGUCGAUUCGUAAGGAUAUAAAUUCUACCACUUGAAAUUAAAAAAAAAAAAACCCCACAUAGAAAUAGAAUCAUUCAAGUGAGUCAUUCAUGUGGCAAAAGAGAGACUCCAGAUGUCAUUGGAGUUAUAUCUUUGCAUGCUUGUCUUGCUAAAAUGUGGUUCGAAUAUCACAUUUCAUUUGAGGUUAGCUUUAGAUGGAUUCAAUCUAUUCGGUCAUAUGAGUACCUCGUACAGUAUGUGGCAUCUGGUGUUAAUUCCGUAUAAUUUGCCACCAUGGAAAUGCAUGAAAGUGUCAAAAUUCUUUAUGUCAUUGCUCAUUCUCGGUCCUAAAUCCCCUGACAAAGAAAUUGAUGUGACCUACAACCAUUACUUGAGGAACUAAAAAAUCUAUGGACGUCUGGUGUGUGUACGCAUGAUUGUCUGACGGAUCAAUAUUUUCAGUUGUAUGCAGCAUUGUUGUGGACAAUUAAUGACUUUCUGACAUAUGGUGAUCUAUCCGGUUGGAAUACAAACGGAUAUCAGGCAUGUUCCAUUUGCAUGGGGGAUAGAUCAUCGUUCAAAAUAUGCAAAAAGAUAGCAUUCAUGGGGCAUCGACGAUAUCUUCCAGACAACCAUGUUUGGCGUAGAAGUAGACUCCAUGAUGGAAAUGUAGAGCAUAAACCACCUCCAGUUGUAAUGAAUGACCAAGAAAUAUUGGAACAACUAGAUCUUGGAGUUUCUAGUAAUGAGUAAGCAUCAUUCGUUAAAAGAUAGAAAAGAAAAAGAGUUCUUAAUUGGACUAAGAAAAGUAUUUUUUUUUCGAUCUUCCUUAUUAGUCAUGAUUACUUAUUGGUCAAAACUACUUAUUCGUCACAAACUUGAUGUAAUGCACAUUGAAAAGAAUGUUUGUGACAACUUGGUCGGUACAUUGUUGAAUAUUGAAGGAAAAACAAAAGAUACCACGAAUGCCCGAUUAGAUUUACAAGAUUUGAAGAUAAGAAAGAAUAAUUUACAUUUGGUAGAAGUGGGUAACCGAUUGGUGAAACCAAAUGCGAGCUAUACCUUGACUAGUAGCGAGCGGAUUGAGUUCUUGAAAGUAGUUAAGUUUCCUGACGGAUUCGUUUCUAAUAUUUCACGAUGCGUGAAUGCAAACGAGGGGAAAAUAUCAGGUCUCAAAAGGCACAACUGUCAUGUACUGCUACGCCGACUUCUUCCAAUCGGUGUUAGAGAAUUUUUACCAAAAAAUGUGUACACUGAAAUUACUGAACUGUGUAGUUUUUUUCGUGAUUUGUGCGUUAGGACAAUAAGAAUAAGUGAUUUGAAUAGAUUGCAGUCAUAUAUUAUAACUAUAUUGUGCAAAUUGGAAAGAAUAUUUCCACCUGCUUUUUUCAGCGUCAUGGUAUACCUUGCAGUUCACUUGCCAUAUGAGACGAAGGUUACUGGUCCGGUUUCUUACAAUUGGAUGUAUCCUAUUGAAAGAAGUCUCCACACACUAAAAUAAUACGUUCGUAACAAAGCACGUUCUAAGAGGUCUAUUGCAGAAGAAUAUCUUAAGAACGAAUUAAGUACUUUUUGUUCACGAUAUCUAAAGGGGAUUGAGACACAAUUCACUAGAGAUGAUUGAAAUGGCGAUAGCAUUGAAAAGGAUGAAGUCAUUGGUGAGUUCGAAGUAUUCAUUCAGAAGGUACGACCAUCGAGAGCAUCACAUUUAUGAAGUAUAUCACAAGAAGAGAAACGACUCUUUCAUUGGUACAUCCUCAACAACGUGGAUGAAAUAGCUGAGUACUGAAAGUACGCAUUUUCUAUAUCUUGAUCAAUUCACAUAUUCAUUUGACAAUAUAUAUAUUUUAGGGUUUUAUACCUUGUCGACACGCAAACUCACAAUUGGGUACUUUAGGAAACACCUGCUUUUGAUACGUCAUCAGGGUGAAAGCUUUUAUGGACUGUUCAAAAGACACCAACGAGAAUUUGUUGAUUGGUUCAAAGCUCAGGUAUUUCGAGUAAAUGACUUUGAGCAUUUCUACUUGAUACAUAUUUUAUACAUUUAAGUACUUUUAUGGUACACCAAUUUCAGGUUAUGACAGAAAUGCGUGACAAUUCAAACAUUCCUCAAGAUUUAUUUUCACUCCCAAUAUAAUGGGACUAUCACUUGAUGUCCACUCUUACAGUGAAUGCAUUAUAGGUCGUUGGAGUAUGAUUCUCGACGCACAACACAAAAUAGUGAAGUCAUGGUAAUCUGGGUAUUUUCACUCCCAAUAUUUUUUACGGUGUUUUGGACGAACUGUUGCACAUUCAAUAUCCAUUUGAAAAGCAUGCUUGGCUAUUUAAGGGUCGAUGGUUUGACACAGAGAAAACAAAAAUCAUAGAACGCACGAGGAACUAGGCUACAAAUCAAUAAGCACGUCUUGUUUUUUGUUCGUUGAGGAACCCGUGAUUCUCGCAACCCAGGCAUAUCAGGUGUUCUACAUUGAGGAUCCUAAAAAUGGUAUUAAUUGGAAAAUUGUUCAAGUGGUGCAAAAUAAACAUGUAUGGAACGUGCCAAAAGUGAAAGAUAUUGAGAAUGAUCAACUUAAUGUACUGGAAGUCGUCGUUAAACAUCGUGUAGACGAACACGUCAUUGAGGAUGACACUCUAUGUAAGACUGAAGUUGAUCCUACAAUAGUGGAAAGACCAAGUGUUCGUCAUGUCAUGAAAAAUUUCAUAAACGAUGAAGAUGAUGAACAAUCAUCACAUCAAAGCGGGUUAAGCGAUGAUGAAUAACAAUGUUUUUUUGACGUAUACACACUUUUAGUCAUUUUUCUAUACAUUAAUUACGUUGUGACGAUAAUCACGUUUGUUUAAUGUUUAUUGAUUUUUAUGUCUGCAGAAAUAAUGCAAUCUAACUUUCCGAGUAAUAUGCAUGAGGAAGACUAUUUCCUUUAUCUAGACGCGUUGGAUAACGCAUGCGGUUCGUCGUCAGUAGACGACACUUCAGGUUCGUAAUAACUAGCAUACUUAACACAAUUUCUCUCAACGAAUCAUGUUGUUAAGUUAUGCUUAUUGUAUCUAAUAAACAAUCGUUUUCAGUAAAUCCCUCUCAUCCGACACCCACUCCCACUGUGAGGAGAGUACGACGAUAUUCUCGAAACAUAGAUGUCGAGCGGUACGUACAGCAGAAUGAGAGCAUUCCCAUUUCCAUCCUCCCUAAAGGGGAUAGACCUGUCUUAGCACAAGCCCCUCGUUUCAGUUGCAUGAUCAGUGUGUUGACACAAGACAAGUUUCCUAUUCAACCUCUGAAGUGGGCAGAUGUACCACUAGAGUGCAUCGAGGUCGUCAAGGAGGCCUAACGGUAAGUCUGUAAAUUUAUAAACUAUAAAAGCUAUACUGACUUGAAAUCCAUUUCUUUUGUAGGAAUUUUCCGUGUUCGAUCUAAACAAUCCAUCACUUAAUCGAUUUAUUGAACAUCAAAUGCUCACCAUGUGGAAGAAAUUCAAGUAAGUAACCAUCGUCAUUUAAAGAAAUUUAGCGACCCUGAACAAGCACGGGCAAACCCAUCCCCGAGAUUGGUCAAUCGGGUGAAAUGUUUCUGUGACCACUACAUCACUCGACAAUUUCAUGUAAUUUAUAUAUUUUUAUAUUGAAAUCAAUUAACAUUUAUUUAUUUGAAAGUAUAAUGUUUUGAUCAUCGUCAUUUUUGGAAUGUAGAAGCAAUCAAAUAUGUGCAGUGCUGUUAGGGCGCAACAACCUUACAACCACAGGAGCGGCACAAAGUCGUUUCUUCAGAGACAAACAGAGCACACUAAACUACAUGGUCGUCCAAUGGAUCGUGUUGAGUUAUUUAGAGAAACGUGUGUCAGUACUAGUGGCGAGUUCAUUUCACCAACCUAGUAGGUCGCCGCAAGGUCAAAACUUUUUCACUACUUCCACCUUUGUGCUGAGAAAUGAUAUUCAUCGAGAUACACUAGGUCUUGAUUAUUAGAUAACAUGAAUUCAAUUAAUGAAAAGAAUACUUCAACCUUAACAUAUCUCUCUUUCUGCUCAUCAAUCAUGGAUCGAAUCCUAAUUUCUUUUAUACUGAAUGUUUGUAUAUGGAGUAUGGUCCUUGAUAUCACAUUAGAUAACAUGAAUUUUUAACUCAAAACAAAUUGACAAUGAAAAGAGUAAUUCAUUUAUGUUAUACAAGUAUUAUAAGGCCCUUCGAUUGUUUUCAAUAUGACAUCUUCAGCAAGGCUCAUGCACCCUUCUUUAUCUAGUUUUGUUUAUCUUAGCAAUCACCUUUUUCAGGUCAAUUUUGUAACAAACUAGUCCCUUUUCAUGCUUGUUAUGAAGUCACCCCAUGGUCUUUUGGAUAAUACUACAGUAUCUCUUGUGGCCAUACAAGUUGACCUUAUAAACCUCUCAUGGUCCCAUUGCAAACAAGGGAUUCUCCAAAAAAUGUAAGCAACCUUGAUCCCUCUUCCUGACCUAAAAGCAUGAAAUUCGAAACCAACAAAUAAUUAAGCACACCCAAGAGAUAAUUAAUACAUACAUAAGAUGCGAAGAAUGUAAAGAUAAAUUAGUUAUGCUUGUAUUGAUUUUAUAAGUGUAUAUUACUUUUUUUUUUUUUUUUAACUUUCAAACACCUUUCUAAACACUUAUGAGUUAUGAAGUUGUAGUAUGAAUAUUUUGAAAUAUUCUUUCCAGAGAGAACUCAAAGCAAUUACGGCAUAAAUUGUGCUAACAUGAACAAUUUGGGUGUCCAAGAGGAAGGAUCUCUAUAGCAUAUGUUUCAGUUUUUCUACCACAUGGUUGAUACAAUUUCUUCCCCCAUGCAAUGGAUCCAAUUUCUGCUUUAACUAUUGACCCAUCUACUGAAAUGGACUCGAAAAACCAGAACCCAAGAAGCACGGCUAAAAGAAGCGAUCGAGUUGGAGUUCAUAUUUGCACAGAAAAAAAAAGUAUCUAUUGGGGGAUUUCAUUCAGAUGGGCAAACACCAUUUAAGUACAGAAUGUCUCAUAAAGAAGACACUUGAAUUCCUGGAUUAUAUGGAAAGAAUGUGGAGAAGAAUAUAAAAGAAUAAUUCUUUACAACUAAGAGCCUCAUAACUAUGGGAGGUUUUAAGUAAGCCAUGUUGAUAUGUAUUGAAAGGGAUUUCGUCUUGCUAAUUAGUGGCGCCCUUAGGUUAAACUUUCUCUGUAAAGUCAAGUUCUUAAAUUAGUUUAAAACAAGCAAGCCUUGUGACUAGGCUACUGCCUACUAGUCAUAACAAAUUUUCAACAUUCCACAGUAGAGCUGAUCGUCAAAAUGCUGCACCGAUAAAAUAUCCAAUAUCAACUUAGGUUGGUCUACUUCAGGCUUUAUCAAACAAACAUUUUUUAUGCACAAAGAAGUAGAUUGAAAUUGAAAUUUACUCACUUGGCUGAUGGAUCAGACAACUAGUAGUUCCAAAAUGUUUGUAGAUUUCCCUUUUUGCUCCAGCGUGAUAGAUUGCAGUUGCAAAAUCAACUACAUAUAUAGGGCCAUAGGGGUGAAUGCGAUUAGCUAUCACUCAUUUGCCACAAGUGGGCAAAUGUCGAUAUGCAUUAAUUCUAGCUCAAUAGAAUGAAACAUAUUGGAGAUCACCAAUAAUCCCGACAAGAGCAUGAGCCAUCCUUAAAAUGAUGGAACCGAUUAGCAUCUCUCAAGAUGAUCUCUCUUCCUGUAACCUUCGCAAUUAGUUUAAUUGCAGCGUGGCAAUCCCCACAGACACGGAGAUUCUUCAUUACACGAAUCGGCAUACCUAUUGGUAUUUUGAGAAGUCCGUAUGCCACAGCCAGUUUCUCACUAUGGUACUCCAAGCUUUGCACUUUCUCUUCUUCAUCUACGUCAUGUAGCACAAAACUUUGAUCUGGGUAAUAUCCUGCCUCUCUUAGCAAUCCAGACAACCACUCUAAUAUUCUAUUGAUCUCAGAAUGCUCAGGGUGUCCCGAGCUAUCACCUCCCGUGAACUUAUGAACUUUCUUCUCGACAACAAUCCAGCUACAGCCUGGGUACUUGCUCACACGCCUAUCUCUCAUAUUUCUCCUCAACUCAGCAACAUCAUCCCAUCUACCUUGAGAUGCAUAGAUAUUUGACAACAAAAUGAAAGGCCCUGCAUUUUUAGGCUCAAGCACUAGAAGCUUUUUGGCUGCAACUUCAGCCAAAUCCAAUUUCAUGUGGGUUCUGCAAGCACCUAAUAAAGCACCCCAAAUAAUAGCAUCGGCUUCCAUUGGCAUUUUUUCUAUUAGAUCCAUUGCCUCAUUUAGUUUACCAGCUCGACCAAGCAAAUCAACCAUGCAGGCAUAAUGUUCAAUUUUUUGUUCCACUUGAUACUUCGUUUCCAUGGAAUUGAAAAUUUCUAAGCCUUUUUUCACAUUGCCAGUGUAACUACAUGCCGAAAGAACUCCAACAAAUGUGACAUCAUCUGGCAUGAUACCUGAAAAAUGCAUAUCGUGGAAAACUCGUAAUGCUUCCACCCCUAGACCAUGUUGGGCAUAUCCUGUGAUAAUCGAGUUCCACAUGACAACAUCCUUAACUGCAAACCUAUCAAAUACUUGUUUUGCUUUCGCCAGAUUGCCACACUUUAUGUACAUUGAGAGAAGAACGGAGGCAACAUAGACAUCAAGGUCAAAUUGGGAUCUCACAAGCUGGGCAUGUAUCUCUCUACCAUGAUCAAGAUUAGCCAAGCCAGCACAAACGGAAAGAACGCUGAUCAAAGAAGGAAAAUUUGGCCUUAUUCCUUCUCUUUGCAUCAUACGAAACAACUCAAGUGCAUCUAACUCAAGGCCUUUCCGUUCAUACACUUUAAUCAUAGCACUCCAUGUUCCUUCAUCCUUUUCUCUCAUUUGAUCAAACACUUGUCUUGCUUUUGGGACCUCCCCAUUCUGGCCAAAACAAAGAAUCAUUGCAUUACAAGCAACAACCGACUUAAUUGGCAUUGCAUUAAAAAGUUCUGAAGCCUCAUCAAGCCGCCCACAAUUGGUGUAGCCUUUCAGCAUAGCAGUCCAUGAAACCUCAUUUUUCUCUGGCAUGACUUCAAACAGCUUUCUAGCAAUAUCCACUUGUUGGUUCUGCACAUAUCCUGUUAUCAUCGUAGUCCAUGACACGACAUUCCGACGAGGCAUCUCAUCGAAAAGCAUACGAGCUUCCACUAAACGGCCUACUUGGCAAUACCCUCCAAUCAUAUUAGUUCGUGUCACCACAUCCUUCUCAGGCAUCAUAUCGAAAAGCCUACAAGCCUCAUCAAUCCGUCCUUCUUGAAGAAGGCCACCCAACAUCACCGUCCAAGAUACUACAUUCUUUUCAGGCAUUUGCCAAAAAAGUGUCUCUGCCUCAGAAAUCAUACCUUCCUUCACGUACCCUCUGACCAUUGCAGUCCAGGAAACAACAUUCCUCUCAGGCAUUCUAUCAAACACUUCCCUAGCUUCAUUGAUCAUCCCAUUGUUAAUAUACCCAGAAACUAAACCAUUCCAAGAUAUAGUAUUCCUCUCAGACAUUUUAUCAAACAUGUUCUGGGCUUCCUGAGGCCGUUUGUUCUGAAAGUACCCAGCAACAAUUGAGUUCCAUGAAAUGAUGUUUUUGUCACGCAUUUCAUCGAACACAACCCGAGCCUUUUCGAUUUGACCCAAUCGAGAAUACCGGGUAAUAAGAGAAUUACGUGAAAUUAUAAAAUUAGAACAGUAGAAACGAUUUAGCACCAACCGGAAGAACAUUAAUCCAGAGAACAUUGAAUACCCAGGUUGAGAAAAACACUACAAGUUCCAAAAUUUUGAAUAACAAGCUAUAGAAGCAAACAGUUAAAAGAAUACUAAAUGAAGAGGCAGAGUGAUGAAAGAACAGAACUUUACUUUUCUUCCACUUGCCUAAAUGGAGAAAAGAGAUUCAAAACGAAAUAGUAAAAUAAUCCGCCAAGUCAGUGACAUCUCUUAACAAAUUAUUUUCGUAAAUGAAUUGCCUCUUUCACCACGUAAACAUUUUCCACACAAGUUUCAUACCAAAAUAUAAACCAACUAUUUCCUAGGAUCAUUCUACACAGUUAAUUUUAUUUGUGUGUACUCUUUACCACACUCUUUACCACACUCUUCUGUCAAGUUAUAGUCAUACCAAAAAAAUUCUAAGGCAUUAGUAAGUAAAAUAAAUUUUCUUAAAUAUAAUCGGUCUUACCAUGCCUCACACACCAAGUAGAGAUAUUAAAAAAAAAACCAGUAAUCCGACUUAUCCAACCCAAACCAUAAGGGUUGAGUUGGGUUAGAUUUUUAUGUUGAGUUGGGUUGGAUUAAAAAAAUAGAAAAAUAAGUUUUUGUGUCAGAUUGUCAGGUUGAAGGGAUCGAGUUGACCCAACCUGACCCGGUUGUACAUAAUAUAAUAAUAAUAAUAAUAAAAUCUAAACUAAAGAGAAGCCCAAACCACCAAACAUCUUCCUCUUCAUUUCGCUUCACUUCACAUAUCUCUCCUUCAACCUCUUCUUCAUUCGCACGCAACCGUCUCCUUCAACAAGAUCUCUAUCAUUCGCCCCCUCGCUCUGCCUCAUAGCCUCUCCGACGUUCGCCUCCCUCUCAAUCUUCACCUCCACCUCACAGUCUCUCCAUCGUUCGCUCCUCUCUUGAACAUAUCUAAGGUUUGAUCUUGAAUAUUCUUCCUUAGUUUUCAUUGAAGUAUUUUUUUUUGUUUAGUUUUAAUGAGGUAUUAAUUACACCACAAGAUGGAUUUGAGGGUUUGUUUAGAAGAAAUUGAAAAAAUGUUUGAGGUGGUUGAGGUGGACCGAAAAAAAAUGUUUCAACAAUUUUUCAAAAGUGUGCUAGUUUUACUAGACAAAACCUAUUAAAACGAUGUUUCUCACAAUUUUCCAUUCAACAAAUUUUAUUAUUGCUGAGUUUAAUCCAACAAUAAUCGACAUGAUGUCUAUCGAACAAUAAUCGACAUGAUGUCUAUCGAUCAAAUUUUGAUUUUACAUUCCUAGAACUGUUGUAAUAAGAACUAAAUAACGAAAAAAUUUACUCGGUUGAUAUAUUCACAAGUAACUUCAACAAAAAAAAUUAUGGAAUAACUUUAUUAUUUUUGUGAGUAUAAAUGAUAGCGUAUAAAACACGAUAUCUUAUAGUACUUAACUCAAGGUCAUUCUUUCAUUUUACAUGUCUAUUCCUUGAUUUUUUAGGUAUCGAGCAUAAUUCAGGUUAUUCCAUCCCAUAAUGUCAAUUUCGGGACAAAGCGAGCUUAAUUGAAUGGGUAGAGUGUCAAUGGGAGUGAGGAAAUUUAAUUGGAGCAAAGAAGGAAGGGUGCUACAAGACAGAGUGAACGAUUUUCGUGCACAACCUUCAACACUGUGAAGUUAUCCUUGUUAACUUUGUGGAGAAUAUAUCCAAGUAAGACACAUAAUUCCAAAUCUAGCUAUUUAAAAAAAAUUGCAAAUAUGGCGUUGAAAACUAAAAAAAUGAUAUUUUAUCUCGGAGUCUUUUAAAAAAUACAACAAAGAGGUAAAAUAUUUACAAAGUAUAGAACAAUUUUGAAAGUGAAAAAAAUCCACAUGCCCACAAUAAAAAAUUCCAAAAAUGCCACAUUAAUUGACAUCCAAUGUGCGUGAUAUAUUAGGGAAAUGAUCAUUUAGAUUUGACUAUUCUUUCUGAGAUCCUUUAGAUUUGGGUAGACAAAUCUCAACGAUUUUUUUUCAAGAUUUUUUUUGUACACAAUCGUUUAUAUUUGAAAAACGAUCGUUUAGAUUUGAUCAUUUAAAUUUGGGUAGCCAAAUUGCAACGAUUUUUUUUCAAGAGUUUUUUAGUACACGAUCAUUUAUAUUUGAAAAAUGAUCAUUUAGAUUUGGUACACAAUGUUUAUAUUCGUAACAUGACCCACUACAAGAACGAGAGUUUCCCAACAUCGUGACGGACGUCGGGAAACAAAACGUCAAGAAACAAAACUAAUAUUGACGCAGAUAAUGUGGCGUUGGUUUAAUCUCGCAAGCCUGAUGUCGUAAUCCCAAACGUCAGACAUCGUCCGUCAUUUUCAUUUUUUUUAAUUUAUCAUUAAGCUUUCCCCACGCACUCAAAAAUAACGUCAGGGAACCUUAAAAUGUAAAUUUUAUUUCUAAACUUUUCCCCGACGUCAAGGACAAACACAUCAGAAAAAAGUGAAUAUAUUAUUUAAUUGUUGAGCAUCCCCUAACGUCAACGUUCCUGGCGUCGGGAAAAGAAUUAUUAUUAUUUCAUUUUUUAAUUUUCCCCGACGCCAUGCGAACAUAUGUAAAAAAUGUGUAAAUAUUUUCUCGACGUUUCACUUUAUGGCAUCGGAAAUAGGGAGAUCUCCCGACGUCUUCGAAGUGCGUCAGAAGAUCUCCUACAUAUUUGAGUUGUGCGUUCAUAGAAAACAGAACUUAAAUCGAAAGGAAAAGAGGAAGAUCAGGCCUAAAGAGAGAGAUCGUCGUGCCAAAGUCGUAUGCCAUCCUAUUUGACUGCCGCUCGCCACCUAUCCUGUCGUACCACCCCUGUCCAAUGUUGUUGCCUACCCUAUCUCUUUGUUCUUUGAACUUCAAAAAAGUAAUUUUAAAAAAAAAAAAAUCCCUAAAACUCUUUGAUAAUUUAGAUUUAUUUUGUGGUUGAAUUAGAUUUAUAUUUGAUUUUGUAGGAGUGGAUUAAUGGAUUAUAUUGUAAUGAAUUAGUGUGUACAAUUUGUGGAAUGUUGUGAUUGUUGUUGUAUUUGUGGAAUAAAUUCUUUGAACAGUAAAACAAUAAAACAUAAUACGAAGAGAAAGAACAUAGAGCUCUCAUUUUUACAGUUGCUCUUGUUCUUCUUCUUUGAAUCCAUGGAAACUUUAACUAAAAUAGAAGUAAGGUUUUACCAUGUUGUUCUUGUUGUUACUGUUGGAAUCCAUGGAUGAAGAGCUCUCGAUUCUUCGAAUAUUGUUUGAGUGUUUACUGUAAAGAAUGCAAGUUGAGGAACGUUUUGUGCAUUAAAAGAUUUUAAACUAAUUUUAGUAUUUAGAUUUUUAUUUAGUGGUUGGUUUUAGUAUUGUAAGGAUUUUGGAUUUUUGAUUUAAGAUUGAAGUCAAAAUUCAAGAUUGAAGAAUGCAUAAUGUUGGGAGGGACGUUAUUCUUUGUUAUUCAAAAUUACAUAAAACUAUGUUGAAACUUUGUAUUUAUAUUGUAUGUAUAGAUUGUAGAUCGUAUGCACGUUUGAUAUUAAAUUUGUGAUAUAUUUCAUACUUAUAAUAUGUUAUUGAAGCUGCAAAUAAAGAAAAUGAAGAGUAUGAGAAGACUAUAGAAGAGCUUAGAUGCAAUAAUUUUCUUUGACUGCGUUUGAGAACCUUGAAUCCAAGAAUUAAAAAAGAGAAGAAUGUGCAAUGAGAGAAGUUUAACAUUAUUACGAGUUGUGUCAAAAGAAAAAUGAGGUUGCUUCAAAUAGAAACGACCCUUGCCCUGGUGGUUUCAGAAAACUGAUUGAACAAGUGGAGCAGAAAAUGAUGAGACCGAGAACUGAACAGGUAAGCUAUGGAAAGUUCCUUAGUUGCUUUGAUGGCAUCUAUCUAAGCUUUUAUAUAGUGAUCGUUUAGAUUUUAUCGUUUAGAUUUGAUAGUUGCCAAAACGAGCUUUUAACUCACAAUAACAAACAUAAUCUUCCAUCCUAGAGGCGUGAGGUUUGAAUUUCUCAACAUCUAAUUGUUGUACUAAAAAAUAAUAAUAAGAAAAGAAUGAACAGAUAUUAGGAAAAAAAACUCUGAAGAUGUUUGUUUUUCUAUUAUUUUUUUUUUCAACAUGUAGUGAGUGUCAUAUAUAGAUGUCAUGGAAACAAAAGUAAACAAAAGGAGAAAAAUAAUUAUUAGGUAGAUGUCACCUUGAAUUGAAUCCAUGACCGAGUUAGCUAACUUUUAAGAUAUUUAUUAUAACAUACUUUUAGUAUUUUUUUAACUGUUUUAAUUGUACUCGGGAUAAAGAAUAUUCUUGAACUUCAAAAAAAAUUCAAGCAUGCAAUUAAACUUUCAAACAACAAAAUUUUUUUAAAAAAAACCCAUACCAUUGGUUCUAUAUGAAAACCGUGAGUGUUUUAAGAAAACUCGAAAUUUGAAAAAAAAAUUAAAAAACCUCCCAACUUAAAGAUUGUUAAAAAGUAUAUUUGUACAAACAAAAACAACGAGUACCUCGUUGCAAAAAUACUUCUUUCAAAAGUUGUAUGAGUUUCCUUAUAUUUUAAAAAAAAAACAGGACUAACCCAAAGUAACUUCAAAUAAACUCAUAACUAUACAAACUAUUGAAACAUUUUUAAACUUCUUUUUUAAAAGGUUUUUAAUGGUAGAAACAUUAUUUUGAAGGUUCAAGAUAUCUUCUUAAAUGGGUAUUUUCAAUUUAUGCCCUUGUUACUAAAAAUAAGGAUAUGUAUAAAAUUCUUUGAAGCUUAAGAGUAUUACUAUAAUUUUCUUAAGUUCACAUAGUCAGUUUUGAAACAGAGUAUUAAUAGCUUCCCUUCCAUACUAACCAUAAGAAUACUUUUUAAAACAUUUUGAAGUAGAAGGUUAUAUUAAUGAAACUCUUAAAAGCUAAGAAACUUGGGGAUUUUUCUCCUCACCAUAAUUCAUAUCUUUAAAGUUCAAAUAAAUGAAAAAAAUGGCAAAUUUAGAAAGAAUUGCAGUGGUCCCACAGUGAACUGAUAUGAAAUCACUUCUUCACAGAGCGAAGUAAAAAGAUUCUUUUUAACUAAAAAUAUGACCAUGCCUCAAAUGGACAAUUGGGAAAAAGCAUCUAUAUAUAUAUAUAUAAUUAAAAUAAAAACAUGGCCAUUUGGUUGGGAAUGAUGUAAUCCAAUAUACUUCUAAUUCUAUUGGCCAAGAUAGUGGAAUCUGAAUGUGUUUUUCUCAACAUGGUAUAUUUAAAAUAAUAAUAAUGACAAUAAAAGUAAAAAAAAUAUCACCUUCUUAGUUCUUUUAAGUUCUCAUGAGCAGCCACUCUAAAAUAUGACUUGCCAUUUGCAUAAUCUAUACUCAAAAAGCAUCUUUCAAUAUCUAAAAAGGCAUAACUAAUAGAAGUAACACUGAACAAUAUGAUAUGGGCUUAAUAUUGAGCAAGCAAAUGGCUUCUUUGCCUUUAUUUACUGAAAUUGUUACUAUCAACUAAGUAGUCUUCUUAGUAGCAUAUAUAAGUUAGUAAGCUGUGCAUCAAAUUCUAUUCACAGUAUUCCCCACUAAUCUGGCCUCCUAAGUAAUCUCAAAACGAAAGAAAGAAGCUAUCUACAAUUUGGCCAUUAAGGAAAUUAUUUCCUCUUUUCAAAGAGAGAGAAAAAAAGAAGAAAAGGCAAGGCCUCCCUUUCAACAAGGCUUUACCCUCCCAUUGCCCUACCCGUCUCAAUCUCAAAUCAACAUAUGUUAAGAGAUGAUAUACGUGACCUGUGUGUGGUUAUGUUGUCAAAGAUCUUGUCCCAGCCUCAAGAAUGCUCCGACUUGAUCAAAAGUUGAAUCAGACCAAGGAAUCACCUUGUCCGAUGCUGAACUUGCAGAGAGGGCAGGUUGCGUUUAUUCGAAGCCAUUUGACAAUGCAUCGAGUAUGGAAAUGAUGAUUACAAGGAAGCAUGCACAAUUGAACUCCAUGUACAUACUGAGCAAGGCAUAUGCAGCAUGCCUGCAAAUAUAAUACCAUAGAGUUAAUCAAAUAGCAAAGAGUCCUACAAUGCUAUGAUAAAAGGCACUAUGAAGGAUAAAAAAAGAUUCUUCUAAAACAAGGAAUCAUGAUUCAGUUUGUGUCAGAUAAAGCAUUUUAAAAGAAGAAAACUCCAUGGAGAAAUAUCUUGUAAAGGUAACCAGGAUACCUUUGUUGAUGGUAUACAUGUAAAAAUAGGAAAAUUUUGUCGAAGUAACAAUACAAGAUGUCUAUUUUAUGAGUAUGAUGAUACGGGGUAAAAGUAGAAACUGUGCAGAUAAAUUAUUGGUUAAAUUAUAACAAAUAUCCUUGAACUUUGGCAUUUAUUUUUAAAAAAUUCUUAUACUUUCAAAAGUUGUAAUAUUACCCUUGAACUUUUCAUAAAUGUUUCAUAAAUACUCUUGUGGUAGAAAUUCUUUAGAAUUUAGAAACAAACUGAGAUAGAAAAAUUUUCAUUUAUCCAUGGUGGUAUGAAAAGAGAAUGAAAGUACAAAUAAGAUUGUUGCUCACCGAGUCCUCUGCAUUUAGAGUGUGUUCAGUUGUAUGACCAUUGUAGCCAGGCUCCAAUGUCAUCCCAACUUCUUGUUUCUUGUCAUUGUCGAACGACUCAAGUGGAUUGUCUUGGUGAAACCUGUACUUGGGAAGUGCCCUAAUUUCAUCCUCAGAGGCACCUUCUAGGAAAUUCAUGGUAUAACCAUAUGCUAAAAAUGGUAUUAUGCAGCAAACAGCAAAGAAACCAACAAACGCCAUCCCGGUGCAGAAGAUAAUAAAAAACACAUCAAAGGCUAGGAAAACAACUGCCAACCUGCAUUUGAUAUCAUGAGUCCAUCAGUGAAGCCUCAUAUUUGACUUCCAUCAAGACAAACGAGAAGUUUUCAUACAAAUAUGACAAUGAUAUUGAAAUGAUAACGACAACGACAACAACAACAACAACAAAAAAGGUAUCACCAAGAAACAAUGUAGAACUCAAGGGAAAUAUAACCACAGGUCCAGAAGCAGAAACUCAAAGUAACUAGAAAAUAAUAUGAAAACACGACCUGAGUGCUUCUUUCAGUGAUGAACAGGAGUUAGUGAAAAGGAAAGCGCAUUUAUCACAAAAUAACAUAUUUUAGACUCACACAUUUACGGGAAGUUAUAUCGGAAUCGAGAUCACAAAAUGAAGAUGCAUUAUUUAUUCUCACAAAGUAAUUUGAGAAACUAGUAAAUCUAAUGGAAUUUUAGAAGCUGCGAUAGCUAGUGAUGGAGAGCGAAUACAUUUCAAGCAAACUGGUAUAUUCCAUAUUACAUCAUUAUUCUACUAAUUUGCUGAUAAACCACAGGCAUGGUUAGGUAGAGAAAGAAAAGGGUUUCAAGACCCUAAGAGAGAGUAUUAACCAGUACAGUCGGGGAGAACCUUCCAGAAGAGCUUGGCCACCCAUGACAAUCCAAUAGAAUCCAAAUACCCACCAGAUAUAUGCUACCAUUGUGUUCAGUGCUUCCAACCUUUUCAUAACUCUAGGGAAAAAACAGAGGGGGUAAAAAGAGAGUUGAACAAGACUGAAAAUACAAAGAUUGAUGAAACAUCUACAUGUAUUGUCACAAGAAGAAAAAUAAGUAAACGUGCAAAUAUCUUGACUGGAAAUAAAUUCCUGCUAAUAAGUGUAAAAUCCUUCAGAGACAUGGAAACCAAAAACCUAAUCCAAUAAAUUUUUAAAUGGAGAAACAAGAUUUAUUACCAUAAAUGAAAUAAAGAUACCUAAGCAAGUCCUUUACCAAGGGGAAACCCCAAAGUACCUAGGUGAUACAUAGUUUCUUAGCAUACAUAAUCAAAUUCAUUACCAUAUAUAAUACGUGCUACAUUCUUUACAUGAGACGAAAAAACAUCAUUCCAAAUAUAAAUUAAGUAUACUGCACAUAGUAACCACUUUAAAAGCAAAAAGUUCAAAUAAACAUGUCUUUUUUUCUACAAGAACCAUAACAAAACUAUCAAACUUGUCACUAAGUUCACCCUCAUUAGUAAUGGCUGAAUUCAGUAACAAUGUUGCAUUAGACACCAAAACUUUCCUCCUACAUUCUAAAAGUAUCAAUUUAUGAUUUGACAUGGAAAAGAAUACUCAAUUCAACCGACUGUCAAAAUAUAGAAUCCCUUCGAAAUUAAACUAGUAGAACUCAAUUCAUCAAGUUAGCUCAACAUCCAAAAGAACUCUAUGCCAACGACUUGGGUAGUUUUCUUUCCCCCCUCCCAACACCAUGAAGAAAAUGAAAAAAAAAAUAAUAUAUGGGAUGACACAUGCAUAUAAUCCGAUAGUUAAUUAAACUGAUCGUAAUCUAUUCGAUGAAAAUCCCCACAAAGUAGCAGAAAAUCUUCACAUAACAAUCAUUCUAAGAACCCAAUAAGUAAACUCAUCGGAAAACCGAAUACAGUCUAAAAUUAGACAUAAAAGAGAAACCAAUUCAAACCAAAAACCCCACCCCGACAAAAUUUUCCUCAAAACAGAAGUUACCUUAUACGAUUGUGAGAAAGGCGAAGUUCAUCCUGAGCCCCACGAUUCUCAAAACCAAGUCGAUAGCGACUACUCCUUCUCAAGUAAGCAACGAACACAAAAAAGACAUGGAAAAGGCACUGAACAGCAUAACCCGAAAGCCAGAAUCUCAAAGGAGCAGUAGGUUUCUCUUCUGCAGACAAUACCAGCACUAUGACAGAUAAAAAGACGAAGAACAAAUUCCAGAACAAGUCGAGUACCAAAAUAGGCUUGAUAAAGGAAGACCCAUUCCGGAAUAGAACACGACGCUCGUAUUCAUUAUCAUCUUCGUCAUCGUCGACUCGAGGAUCGGCACAGUCACCAAAUAUUACGCCGCGAUGUUCCAUGAUCAAAUUUGCAGCGUCUUGAAUCAAGGGAAGCGCGAAUCUGGAGCUCAUGGUUCGCUGCCAGGACAAGAAACCAGAGUUGGAUGGUCGAACGUCGUCCAUGAAAAGAGAAGUUGGGCGAAGAGUGAUGGGAGCGGGGAGAGGUGAUCGGAGAGAAGGGAAAAGGCGCCGGUGAAGAAAGCGAGGAGUUGCAGUGAGAGUGGGAAUAGAAGGAAGAGGAAUAAUAAAAAUUAAUUAAUAAAUGGAAUUGCGUAUAUCCUUCAAAACGUCGUCGCUUCUUUAGUGGGUAUGAAUGAAUUUAACGCCUUUGUUUGGAUGGUGGUUGUUUAUGUUCGGAUAAGGGAUAAUGGGGGUGGGGGGGAAUUUAAUUCAUUUUUGUUUAAUUAAUUUCAUUUCAUUAUAUCCUUUCUUAUAUAUAUAUAUAUACACAUAUAUUUACAUUAAAUUCAUCAUUAAUUCAUUAAGGAACUUCAUAAUUUAUUAAUCCACUUCGGUUUCAAUUUUGAUAUUCACAAUUAUCCAUUCAUCCAUUAAAUCCAUAUUAAAUAAUUAUAUGCAUACAUAUAUAGAUAUUAACAUUCAAUAUUUAAAUACUUGAAGUGAGUAUAAAGUAAAACAACAAUGUUAAAGAGUAUAUAUUUUGAAACUGAAGCAAUGCUUCAAUUUUUCAAGGAUAACAUUUUAAUACCUGUCAUGAAUUUGAAAUCAAACUUAAAAACAAUAUUAAAAUUAUAUUAUUUUAAAUGUUAAGAACCAAACAAAUAACUUUUUUUAAAAAAAUUAUAUAUGUUUGAAGCUCGCUGGAACAAAAAAGAAAAUAAACUAAAAUAAAAAAAAAUCAAUAUUAUCUUUCUAAAAAAACCACACUACAAUUAUCGAAAUAGUCAUAACUCAAUUAUAAACAAUAAUUAAAAUUUAUCAUGUUUUUAAUAAUUAAAAAUAAAUCAUAAUUUUCGUCAUGUUUUAUAAUAAUUAAAUAAUAAACAUAAACAAGAGACUUAGAAAACGAACUAAAAGUUAUUAUUUAUCAUAAUUAUUUAAUAAAUAAAUAAAUAGAAAAUAUAAAAAGAAUAGAAAAUAAAAGAAGUAUUAUAGAGUUGUUAAAGAGGUAGUUAGUAUAAUAAUUGAAUGAAAUUAAUAUGGAACGAACUUAUUAGAAAAUAAAGAAAAAUAAACAAUAAAGUCUAGAUUUGUAUGGUUGAAUUAGUUCACUAAUACUUGGAAAGAUAAUUGAGAGGAAUUAAAUAUAGAAGGAAUUUAUUAAAAACUAUAAGUGAUAAGAAAAAAGAAAUUAAAAAUAAAUAAAAAAAGGAUAAAAUUAGAAUAUGCAAUCUUCAAGUUAAAGGAAUCUGCUUCAAAUAUUUAUGGAUCACAAUGAUAUUCCUUUAAUUUGAAGGACUUUUAUUUUUUUUCAUUUAUAAUCCAACUUUAUCCAAUAAUACUAUACAUAUUAUUUCACAUUUAUCCCAUUCAUAUUUAAUGGUUUCACAAAAAUUCAAGGGACCAACGGUACUUUCAGCUUUUUCAACUUUCUAUAGGGCCAUUUCACUCAUUCACCACUUAGAUUUAUAAGUCUAAAUUAUUGAGUAGAUGGUUGAGAGUCUGUGAGAUCGAAUUUGGAGAAUAUUGUGUUUAGUAGUAUAUGAGAUGAUGAUGAAAUUACACUACCAAAAUUUGUCUUGUUUUAAUAAUAAAGUUAAGUUGUUUACACCGUGUCAGUAACUUAAGAAGUCGAUGUACUGAAUAAUCCUUAAAUGUGAAACAUAUAUAUUUGUUUCAACUUAAACUUCUAAAUUGUUCUAACUCUAUUAACCUUACAUCUUAAAUUAGUUAAAAAGAAAAAAGUUAUAUUUGAGAAAUGUUUUGAAUUUAAUUUUUACACACGUGUCAUAUUUUCAAAUGUAUAGUUUGAGUUUAUAAUUUUAGUCAUGGUACUGUUAAAAUUAUUAGUCACAUCAACAAGUCCUAAAUUUAAAAUUAUUCAUACAUUAUAUAUUAUUAUGGUUAAAAUUAAUAUUAUUGUUAUUAUUUAACCAAUUUUAAUUAAAUUUAUAAAGGCCUAAAAUUGAAUACAUCCACUGAAAUUGAACAAACUCGUAGAAAUAAUAUUUUAAUCUAGAUUUUAUUUAUAAAAAAAAAAACAAUUCUUUUAAAAUUUAAAUUAUCUAUUUGCCAACCAAAUUUACUUUCUUAAUUACUUAGGCUAGGCAUGUCACUUUUCAUACCAUAGUUUGUAUCAAAUUUAAGUAGUAGAGAUGAAUUCUAAAUAAAUUUCACAAACUAUUUUUUAAAAAAGAAAAAAAAAAAACUACUUUAUUUAACAUUGACUUGGUUUUUUAAAACAUCAAGAAAAUUUUCCCAUUAAAAGUUUUUAAAAAACGGUAAACAUAGAAACGAUGUUUAUAUUCUUAAUUUUUAAAAACUAAAAAAUCAAAUGAUUAUCAAAAGUGGCCUUAAUUCUUCGAUCUUGUUUAAACUUUACCGAAUUUUUCUGAUUCUAAUUAGUUUGGAGUUGUUAACCAAAUUAACUGUUGUUUGUCACUUUUCGAACGAAACAUGUGUUAAAAGUUAAAACACUUAAUCCAACUAUUGACUUUUUGGUAAAAAAAAAAAAAAACUUAUGAUGUUCAAAACUUAGACUAACACCAUUAUCACAAUCAUUAUUAAUGCCACAUAUAUGUUCAAUUUUAAUGUUAAUUCCACUUUGUUUUUCUUAUUACAAUUCUUCAAGUUUGACAUUGAUUAAGUGAAUGAUCUUAUGUAGUAUGUCAAGAUUUUAAUAUACUUGUAAGUUGAUAAUCAAUUACAUUGCAAUCAAUUAAUCAAUUGGUGUUAGUCAAUACUUUUUAGUGCUCUAUGUUGACUAAAGAAGUUAAAGAUUGAGAACCCAACAACUCUUUAUUUGGUAAAUAGAGGAAGUGCAUUAUUCCAUUCAAAUUUAGAUCAAACUAAUACUUGAAUUGAUAUCAUAGUCAAUAGUGGAAUGAUAAGAGAGGUUGAAGGGUUGGAUUGAGUUGGGUUUAACUACUUUUUAGAUUCAGUUUAAUUAUUUAAUAGGUAAAAAUUGUAUAUUUAAUUAUUGUUGUAUAAUGAUAAAUUAAGAUUAACAACUCAAUUAUCUCAAUUUUAGAUUAUGAAAACUUCUUUCUAAUGUUUAAAAUUGUUUUUAUGAGUUGUUGGCCGAUAAAUUAUCAAAAAAUAUUAUAAAAAUAAAGAAAAAUUGUAAAAAAUAGAACAUUUGACCAAAUAUUUACACUUCAUAGAAUGAACCAAGUGUAAUGAAUUUUAUCUUUUAGUGAUUUUGUUUAAUGGAGUAUAAGUUGUUUGUCAAUUUUUUUAUUUUUAAAAAAAAUCUAAAAUAAAACAAUAUAAAUAUAAAUAUAUGUAUAUAUAAUAAUAUUAUAAGUAGAAAAACCAUAUUUUUUUAAAUAAAGGUUAGUUCGGGUUGUUAUUUUUUGUGAACUCAUGAAGACAUGAAAUAACCCAAGUCAUAAGAUUUUAAUUUUUUUUUAACUUAACUCAACCUGUUGAUAAUGAUAACCCAACCCAAACCAUACGAGCUGGGUUGGCUUGGUCAGGUUUUUUAAGUCAUUGGAUUUUUUUAACACUCCUAAAAUUUAUAAUGAAUUCUUUUCCGAUCUCUUGAUUUUAGCUAGAUUUAAAUUGAUAAUUUUAAAUGUAAAUAAAUUUUAAGUUAAAUUACAAAUUUAGUCUUUAAGAGCUGUUUUGGCCUAUCGAGUAGAAUUAAUAAUUUUGAAAUUACUAUAUUGAAGUUAGUAAGUAGUGUUUGAAAUGUAAAGUUGUAAGGUUAAAUUUGAAAAAAAAAAAAGAAUAGACGAAGUUACUCGUAAAUAAUUUAUGAAAAAAUCGAGAUGGAGAGAAAAGUAUGGUUUCUAAAUGAAUAUGAAAAGUUAAAAAAAAAAAUGGGCAAAAGUUACUUGUAAAAUAGGUAAAGUUGAAUAGUGUUUUUACUAUUGUGUUGUUAAUAUCAACUUACCUUAAAAAGUAAGUUGGUGGGUCAAAUGAUCUUUAAAGGAACGUUUGAGAUGUAGAGUGGUUAUUAUACUAUGUGGUUUAUAAUAAACUGUGUUAUUAUAGUCUAUAUUUGGCGCACGAAGUAUAUAGUAUGUGUUUUUGGUGUAGAGUAUUAUAGUCUAUGUUUGGGCUACAAAUUAUUAUAGUCAAAAUUAUAGCCGUCUGUAAAAUAAAUAUCAGUUAUCUUAGAUUAAGUUUUCUUGUACUAUUAUUCUUGUCAUACAUUUAUUUAGGUACAUAGAAUAUUCUUUUUAGAAAACAUAGUUCAAAUUGUAUCUUCCACUAAUUUAUACAAGCAAAUUAUUACUACGGGGAUGCAUUUGUUAUAAAAUUUUAUAAUGUAACUUCUUUUUAUAAAAAUUGAUAUGUAAUUUUAUUAAAACUUGUUAAUUAUGUUGUUCAUUUAAUAAAUUAAUAUUACAUAUAUAAGUUGAUUUUUAUAAUUAUAACAAAAUAUUUAUGCACCGUGUAACAAAAUGAAAAAGCACAUUAAGCUGCCAUUUUUUAAAUAUUCCAAGUUUGCCCUCUAUUUUCAUCGUAUUUCUUCUCUUUUCUGCUAUUUUUCUUCUUCUUUCCAUUGUUUUUUUCUCUUGUUCUACAUUUUUUUUAAAAACAAAGUUUCAAAUAAUUAUUUGGUUGUUUAGAUCGUGGUUGUAAGUAUGCUUGUUGUAUGGCACCGCAAGAUUCAUUAGACCUGCAAAAGCUCCAUACGAAGCUUAAGUUUUUUUACGGGAAGAAGAGAAUGGAAAUUUAAGGUUGUGUGUCGACAACCAUGUCUUGAAACAAGCCCUGAGGAAAGGGCCAACUCUUGAGUUUGUGGAUGCUUACAAGCUCUUCGAUUGUAUCUGAAGUUUAGUUAACUCCGGCGAUGCCAUACGACAAGCAUACUUCGUAGGCGAUUUUGACUUGGGCAAACUACCAAGCACCCCACACACAAUACUUCUUCUCUAUGACACGCCUUGUGCCUUUUGGAACUAUCUCCCCCUAACUAUCUGAAGGCUCAGGUGGGAUGACCCCUGAACGUAAUUUCAUCUUGAGUGAGGCCCUCUUUCAGUUGCAUGGCUGAGAUCAUUCUCAAUCUCUUAGGUUGGCGAAGGUCUAUCUGAACAACGGUGGGGGCAGACCUAGUGAUCACUAAAUAGUUGGCUGAAGGCAUUAGGAUCACCUGAUGUUCAAGGAGGAAUUUCAUUUCGAGUACUACCUCAAAGUCAUCCAUACCUACAACCACGAAGUCUACAAGACCACUCCAUCCUCCCAAUUGUAUUAUCGUUCCUUUCACUAUUUCUACGACGAGUAAAACUGUAAAAUUUACGGCCUUCAUUUUUUCUAUAUCCUUCUUCCAAUGAAGCUUCUGCCACCCUUAUGAAAUUGUGGGUUGCACCAGAGUCAACCAUAGUGCUCAUUGCGUGCUUCUAGUUGACCCAGGUGUCAACAUAUAUUAGACCCCCUUUUGCACGUCUACUUGUCUCUCCCACUUUCUUUUGAAGAGGCAACAGGAAUCUCAUGACCCCCACUUUAGAAUUCUCAACUUAGUUUGCUUGAUUAACUUCCCUUUCUGAUUGACUCAACUUGUCAUCUAAGUCGGAGGAUAGAGAGGCCUGAAAGAUGUAAAAGACCGAUUUAUUCGGACAUUUCUUAGCUCGAUAUGCCUGAUUACAUAUGUACCAACUAAGAGGAUGAUUUGGUGUGUUUGGAUUAUUAUGUCCUCGCCAGGUGUUCCCCAUGUUGGAUUGGAAAGGCUACGGUCACCACCAGGACAUCUGUCUUCCCCGAUAGCUUUAAGAGAACUCAAUUAUUUCUUUUUCUUCCAAUGAAGAACUUUGGUGGCAUCUCAUAUCUUGAGAGUCAUUAAACAUAUCAAACAAACGUUCAGCUAUUCCAUAGGCUAACGUGAGGUCUUGAAUCUUCUACUCAUAUAGCUUAAUCCUUACCCACGACUUCAGCCUUCGAUAAAACAGAAGAUCUUGUCAUUUUUUGACAUGUCACAUAUGUCUAACAUUGGCCCGUGAAUUGUUUCACAUACUUUCGAAUGGUUUCAAUGUGUUUAUUCGCUCAAUUUUCACCGAACCAAAAUUUCGACAUUCUCGAGAAAAAACUACGAACAAAGUUCUUUCUUUAAACUGUCUCAUGUGUCUAUUGUGCAACAUCCUUCCUGAAUAUCAACAUACCAGGACUUCCACCAUAACUUCGCAUUUUCAGACAGAUGCAUAGUUGUCAAUGUCACUUUGACUUCUUCUGUAAUGGUAUUUGUGGCCUUGAAGUAUUGUUCCAUAUCAAAGAUGAAGUUUUCUAACGUCUUCGCAUCUUUUGCCCCACAGAAGGGCUCAGGGAUUUUUAUUCUGCUAAUUGAAAUUGUGAUUUGCUAUUGCUCAAUUUGUAAGGUUCACCUUCGUGUUCAUCUCUACGAUUUCGUUCCUCGCGACAUAUAGGGUAGCUCAAAAAUCUCCUGUCAUGCCGUUUAUCAUUUCCAACAUAUUCUUGUGGGAGUUAUCUAUCCUAAUAACUCGUUCUAUAUAGACAGCAGCAUGACGAACUAUUCCCACGCUUGUAGGUGACAUUUCCAGUUCUUACAAUUUGUGACUCUAUAGUGUCAACUCUUUCAAACUCAGAAUGGACGAUUGUGCGGUACUUGUUCAAACUCGAUGAACAAGUCAGCGGAUCAAAAUUCGAAAGUCAUGGUCAAUCUUAGGGUAUGAUGUAACCUUCCUUCACGUUCUUGAGAAAAUUAUUUAUAGAACAUGAGAAAGAAACAAAGAGUGAGACACUGAUCAAAAGAAAUUUAUAAAACUUCAACUUGUAAACAAUUAUUUCUACAAAAGGUCGGUAGUGAAAGUUGUAAGAUCGAGUGUUGAUCCACGCGGAAUCUAUGCAAAGUUUCUUAGAGUUGUAAAAUGCAAAAGUAAAACAAGAAUUACUUUUAUUUUUUGAUAUCAGAACACAGACGGUUAAAUAUUCUCUCAGUCAAAAGACCUUAUUAAACGAGUGAAGGAAUGAUUUUAUAGAUAAAAUAAGUUCUACAGUUUGAACCUUGUCACAACAUAUCAGAAAAUGCAAGUGCGAGUGUGUAGCAUUUGGGUACCGAAAGGUUGUUUGUCUUAAAUAAAGGUUGAAACAUAAUAAUGUCAUUUAUAUUUACUUAGAUAAAAAAUAUGUAUUCUAACCUCAACGUUUAUAUCACAAAAGGUGAAUAUAUGUACAACAAAAGUCUUGAGAGGUUGCUUGCCUUAAAUUGAAGUUAAAAUAUGAGAUAUGUAUCGAUUCAAAUAAACUGUGAACCUUUUCAGUUCGCAUCACUAUAUAUGUAUGUAUGUAUCCAAACUUUUAUGUUGCUUAAUUGUAUGUUUGUUCUAAGUUAAAAGUUAGGUUCAACACCAUUCACACUCAUCCACUUUCAUGUAAUCCAAAGCAUUCCACUCCUGAUGUCACUUAAAUCUAGAUCAAAUAUUUUAACCGAAUUAUACAUCAACAGCUGACUAGUCCUAGUCGAACUCAAGGAGCACGUAAAUUUCUAUAGCACAUUAGUUUCAACCCAAGGUAACAGAAGGAGGGGGUCAAUUGAAUAAUUAAAAAUAAAUUGUGAAAAAAUAAAUACUAUAAAAAUAAAUUAAAAGUGUAAAUCAAUUUGAGAAAACUUACCAUGGAUUUUAUCGAUCUCCCUCAUCAUUAUAUUUGAAUGUUGAAUUCUCAUUGUUGAAUUUAACAAUUGAUACUCCUAACCAAUUUGAAUAGAACAACUAACCAAAUUGUCCUAUGCAUCAAAUUAAUGCAAAUUAAAUCGAUGAAAUGUAUACAACGUCCAAUUUACAGUAAUUGCAUUACAAAUAAGGGCUAAGUUAGGUUGAAAACCUAAUUUUCAUGCGGCUAAUUAAACAUUCAUCAAGUUCAAUAUUGUAAGUCGAUUAGAAAAAUACAAGAUCUAAUAGAUUUUUUCAAGCUAACCUAACUUAUUUCUUCUAACUGAAUCACAUACAACUUACCAAAAAAAUUGCACAGGAUAAAAAGGCUUUCACCAUAAAGCGUUCGUUCAUCUGACAAUAUGAACAUGAUAAUUAAAGACAAAAUUUAAUCUAUUGGUGUAUUAAACUCAAUUCAAAUCUCACAAAUGUAUGGAUUAAAGGGAGAUACUACAAACUAAACCUAAGAAAAGAGUACCUAGUUAUUGGUUGAUUAUGGUAUGUUGAUCAAUUUGUUUGUAGAUCGUAAAUUUGUUGGAUAAUAUAAAACAUAAAGUAAAAAAAAAAAAAAUUCUAAACUCAUUUAACCUCUCAAUCUCUCUAAUCUCUUUCAAAAUCUCUCUCUCAAUCUCUCUUGUCAUUCCAUAGAAUAUUUAGCUACUCUUGAUCAAGUUAUCACGCUACACAAUAAGUUUAGUUUUUUGUUUUUUGUUAUUUUUUUCUCCAAAGUGUGUUAUAUAUAGGUUUUUCUUUUAUCCUCCUCUCUUGGUGGAAUAUUUAAAUCUUAAAUGUAUAAACCUAAUUAUCUAAUUUUUAAUUGUUCCAAGUUGAUUUAGAGUUGUUUCAAACUUAUGAACAAGUUUUUUCUUACUUUUUUUCAUCUGGAAAACAUCUCACAGGCAUGCAUCUCUCGCAACUUCUUAAGUUCAAAUGUUUAAUCUCAAAUGAAUUAUAUACUUGUGCUUAUGUCAUUUAGGAUGCUUUUAUACAUGUGUAGGAAAUUUUUAGUUACUGUUUAGAAAAUGUUUUUUGCUUGCAAACAUCUCGCAACCUCCAAACUUUAAAUCACUACUACAAAAGUAGCCCUUACUUAAAGUCUUUUACCUAUCAAGUAUUUGUUUACUUGAUGUUUUUAAAUGCAUCAAGUAAUCUAGUACAAGAAUAAGAGUCUUUUUCUUGAAAAAUUUUAAGCGUCAAGAUAAAAUAUGCUUGACACUAUAUGUCAAGAAUAUUUAAUUCUUGACACGUUUUUUUUGCAUGUUAAGUCUUUCCUUUUUCAAAUGAAAAAUUUACAAUUUAAAAUACUCAUAUAAUUACUGCACCUGUUUUGAAACCAUAUUAAUUAUUGAACAAUUGAAUCAGCCCAAAUUCUCCAUCAAAGAACUAACUUGUUUUGAAGUCCAUAUAAUUAUUGCACAUAUUUUUAAGUCCAUAUUAGUUGGUCAUUGUAUACUGUUCAAUAUACAUAAAGUUGGUCACUACGUACUUACAACAUCCCAAACUUCUACUAUAUGAAGAAAUUGUUCUACCUAGUUUUAUGUCUAAUCUGAACAAAAUAUAUCAAUCAAUGACUGUACACACCUAGGCUUAGAGUCUGAGUUUCUCGAUAAAAAAGUGGAUCUGUUGGGUGAAGUACCACUUUUUGGACGUAGUAAAAGACCUCAACAAUCUGCCAAUGAAAUAAUACAAUGUUGAGAACAUGUGGUUGUGUUGCCUUAAGAGUGAACUAAGCAAAAAUGAGACUACUCAACAAUGAACUUAAGUGAACCAAUAAACGAAAUUUGAUGUGUGAAACUAGAAAACAACCUAGAACAAUCUGAGUGAUAUUAAAUGAAAAUAAAUUAAAAAGACAAACUCUUCAUCCAUAAAUUUUGUUAAGGAUCCCGUACAUAUUUAAAAUAUCAACCAAAUCUCACAAAUUUUAUACUUCUCCUAUUACAAAAAGGAGAAGGGAAAUUUUAUUGUGGAAAAAAUUGACUUUUCAUAUCUUCAUUUUGUCCUAAAACUCGGUUUUUUUUUUACUCUAUGUUUUAUAGGGUUUGUUUUUUUUUUUCUUUUUUAAGUUAUAUUAAUUUAGGGAUGCUAAAUAAAAAUAUAUUUUGUUUUAUACUUGACAUUAAAAAAAUAUUAAUUAAAAGUGAAUAUUACUCUUGAUAUUUUUAAUGUGCAAGUAAAUAUUAACCACAAUUGAUAUUUAUGAAAUAUAAUGUAAUAAUUAACAUAAAAAAGUUUUAAAAUGUCCGUGAAAUCUCUACUUCUUUUAGUGAGUUUAGACAUUUUUUUCUUUAAAAUGUUAGUAAAAUAUGACCAUUUUUUCUUUAAAAUGUUAGUAAAAUAUGGCUUUGUACUUGGAAAAUUUAGAACGAAAUAUCACGAAAUUAGAAGUUUCAUAUUAUUUAAGCCAAAAUACGUACAAAUACAUGCAUGUGUAAAACUGAGUUUAAAAAAUCAACCAAUAGUAAAACUUUCCAAACUAAACUUUGACAUUUAAUUCAUAAAGUUGUUAAAAUCAUUACUAUUUAUUCUAAAUGAAAACAAAUUCGUGCAUGGUGUGUAGUUUAUAGAAAUCUUUACUAUUUUUACAUAUUAAUGCAUGGAUGAGAUUUAAUGUAGCUUUUACAACCUUAUUGAAUAGGAUCUGUUCUAUAGGUUGUAUAUUGUGUCCUUGAGAUUCAAGGGAUUUAAUGUAACUUUUAGUAUUUAAACCAUUGAAAAUCGUAGAAUUUCUAUCAUCCUAACUCUUAACAAAACAGUAGUUCGGAAAUUUGUAUAUCUUAAGAAUAUGGCUUCUUCCCGUAUCAUCUACUUCGCUCUUAUUUUUUCAGGUUCUUUUUCUUUAAUUUCCUCCACAAAUACUAUAUUAUCAUGCGUUGCAAAAUCAAAUAACCAUUACAACACAUAUUAGAUUGCUAAUUUGUCUACCUAUAUAUUUAUCUUUUUAUUUCUUUUAUAUAGUUGCAUUGAUGUUUGUGCCUCAAGACGUCUCAGCUGCCCAAAGAUGUCAAGACAUUUUAUAUAACACUGGGUGCGAUCUCAAUGACUGUGGAAAGAAAUGUUGGGAGAAGCAUCAUACUGUUUCACAUCAAUGCAUUCCAACUAAUCCUUCUCAAACCAUCUAUGCUUGUUAUUGUUUCUUUGAUUGCGGUGGUCAAAAGAAUCGAUCUGCAUACUCGCAUCUUCCUUAUUUAAUGUAAUGUACUUAAUCACUUAAAUUUCUAAAUAACAUCACACAUCUUUUCUAAUCUUUGACUGCGUUACAACAAUUUGAUGUCUUGAAUACAAGAUUCCAUGAGCUAAAUUCUUUGAAGUGGACUAUUUGGGCAAUAUCCAAUAUCCAAACAAAUACCCAUAUUCUUAGUUAUUUAAAAUAGUAAUCAUAACCUCAACUAAACCUAAACAUUGCUCUAUACAAAAAGUUGAUUAUUAUAAGAAAAAUUGCAAUUGAUAACCAUUUCAACAAUAAUAAUUAAGGAUAUAGUAAAAAAAAAUUUAAAAAAUUGUAAAUAUAGCAAAACUAUCACUGAUAGACUUGUAUCGAUAGACUCUGUAUGGUCUAUCAGUAAUAGACUAAUAUUUGCAACAUGGUUUAUCGGUGAUAGACUUAUAUGAUUGAUAGAAUUUAAUAAAUUUUGCUAUAUUUGCAAAUUUUUUAAAAUGUUGUUAUAUAUUUAAUUAUUUUGAAUUUAAUUGUUAAUUUUGCAAUUAUCCCUUAUUAUAAUCCACUCCCACUCUACUCCACUCCUAGCCCCAAACAUGUACUAAAUGUCUAAAAAGUAUUUAUAGUAAAUAAUAUUUUUAGGAAUAAUAACUAAGUAUAUAGAAAAAUUCGUGAAAGAAUUUGUAAUUUUUUUUCAAAGAUUUAUUUUAUUGCUAUUUACUAUUUAUUUUUAAAGUUUAUUAUGAAUGAGGAGUAGGGAUUUUGUUCUUAUGGGACAAACUAAUCAAGAUUGGACUAAUAUAUCAACAUCAUAGCUUAAUUGAUAUAAGACCACAUGUAAGUUUCAAGAAUCCAAACUUAUUGAAAACAACAACUUAAUUGCUUUCUUCUUCUUUUUUAAAAAAAUUCUAUAAUCUUUUCUAUAUUGAGCAAAGAAUCCUCAAUAAUAUUCUUUUUACCCAUUUCAGUUUAUUUGAAUAAACAAAUUCAUUGAUGAAAUAUCAAAGCAUAAAUAUUAUUGUUAUUUAUUUACUCCAAUAUAAAUACAAAUUCUCAUAACGUUCCUUAGUUUUGGAUUAUAAAACUUAAUUAUUAUUCAAUAUAACUUGUACAUAUUUCAUAUAUAUUAGGACAAAGAGAUGCAUGCUUAUAGAAAUAUGUUUUAAGAACAUUUGUAUUCCAAACAUGACAUCGUUUACAUUUUUACUCUCAAAUCUUAAUUUUACCUUCGCAUAGACUUUCAUUCAAAAUCAUCAACAAAAAAAAAAAAAAAAGAAGUCCAUAUUCAUUGAAUAAUUAUAAUAGCAACGGUGCCUAAAGUAUUACCAAAUAUAACAUAAUUUAUAGUAAGGGUUUAUCCAUUGUGGAUUUUAUUACUAGUAAAAGUCUAUGAACAAUAAAAUCUAUCACUGAUAGUUUAAGGAGGUUAGAAUGUCAUAUGAAUUAGAGUGUUGAAAGGAGUGAGGAAUCAAUGACAAAAUAAAAAUAAAAUAGUGAAGUGUAAAAAUAAUGGUAAAAGAGUUUGAGUUGAAAACCAACGAUGGAAACGAAAUAAGUUCAAAAUUACAAAUUCGUCAAAAAAAACUCAAUCCAAGCAUCUCAAGGUUUAGAUAAUAAUACCAUUAAAAUACAAGCUCAUUCCAUCAUGAACCCUAAACAACCCUUAUACUGGAUGUAAUUAUCCACUUUAAAACAUAUGUUUAGAAUUAGUGAGUGAAUAUAAAGUAGAAAUUGAAGGUUAGGUUGAAAUGACCAUUAAGGCUUAAGAGGAGAUUAUAACACAACUAUCAUAAAACAAACAUAUAGUACUUAUUGAAAAGAAAAUAGAACUUGAAUUACCUUAUACAUCAGGAGAUAGUCAAAAUAUGUAUAUUAUUUUAUCACUUUGAACUCUCAUGUAUGCAUAAUGAUAUUUUUGAGUUGAAAACCAAUGACAGGCUGGGACAAAAGAACAACUAGCACCAUCCGUCUUAAUCUGCUAUUUUUGAGUUUCACAACUUCCCCCACAAUAAUUUAUGCUUCAAAACCUACCUGAUAGACUACAGUAAUAUUUUCACAGGAUGACAAGUUGAAAACCAAAUUAAGGGUUAAUUUUAAGAUAAAUGUUUAAACUAGCGUUUUUUCAGAAAAGCACAUUUUUUCCCUAUAAAUACUUUUGGAAAGAAGCAAGAGAAAAAAAAACAAAUUUAGCUUAGCUCAACUAGUCAACACAUUUGACCAAGAUAAUGAAGGUUCAAAUCAUCCAUGUAUCUUCUGUUGUUGUUAAAACAAUGAGUAGUUCUAAUGGGUUAAAGGUUACACUAAACUCUGAACCCUAUCCAUCUAUUGAGGGGUUCACUCAAACGCAUUGAAAGUACAAAGCUUAUCUACAGUAUAGCUGCAACUGAGGUCUAAAUCCUAAAAAACAAGAUAUUCGAAAGCGUUUUGCUAUCAUGAGUGCCAUACUUCCUACAAAGCAUCUAAUGCAGAUACUUCCUGUCCCUACAUACUAUUCUAAGAGUGCAGAGAAUAGAAUCCACUCACUAGACAAUCUGCAUUAAAAGCCAGAACUCUUACCUUUCAUCUUUAUUCAACCACAGUCAGUACAAAUUGAGACAGACGUCAAGCUCAAACUCCUCCCUGGGGGGGAUUCAUCUCGACGUGCAAUUUCAUCUUAGUCUAAGUUUCUAAGACAAUGCCUUUGUGCAAGGGUUUUUUUAGCAAGAUUACCAAUAAAAAUCUAAAUCAAGUAUUCAAGCUUGUUGAACUGUACAGUCAUCUUUCAACUCACAAUUUAGUCGUUCAAAACUAAGAAGAAUUUGCACAUUUCAUUACUCACUGGAUCCUUUCAGGUAUAUUAAGAAGCAAGUACAUUUCCUUGAAAGUAUAAAGAAAUAAGACAGUAAAUUGGAAGCGAUAAGGAGAAAUGGCACCUCUAGAACUGAAAACUGCAAGAAUUGAAUUCAAGGAGCUCAAGAUUAUCAAACGUUCUUCAACUUCUUCAUCUUUGAUGGAGGCCAUCGUCCCUUCUUCCUCAAAUGGCGUUUCUGAACAAGCCGCUUCCUCCGCAGCCUAAUCUUUUUUGCUAACUUCAUUCUUGCCUUCUGUUCCAGCCUCUCCUGUAACUUUGAUUCUAAUGGAAGUUUAUCAACUGGAACAUCCUCCUUUUUAGCUUCUGCAGCGGGCUGCACGUCACUACUGUCAGUUUCUCCCGUAGCAUCAGUCUCAGAUGCAGCUUUGACAACUAACGACGCUGUAUUUUCAACAAAAGAGUGGUUUCGUAGCCGGACUCCAUUAAAGUGUUUUGGCUGAAACCCAAUAGGCUUCAUGAGCAACAUAGAACCUGAAAUGGAAACCACAAUAAAGGAAUAGAAAUUAGACUGGGAUUCAUAAAGUGCAAGGAAAUAAUCAUUCCAAUGAAAGCCAAGAAUAUGUAUUAUUUUGGUCUCUAAGCUUAUCGAAUUGUGUCUAAGAGAUCCCUUAAUUUAAAAGAGUGUUUAAUAGAUUGUAAACCUGAUACAUGAGAUCUCUAUACAAAUUCAGAGCCAAAUAAAGACAGUUAAAAGUUUAAUACUAAUAUUUUAAAGACCUACUAGAUAUUGUUUAAAACUUAGAAAUCUACGGUAAACAAUAUUAAAAGUUUAGAGACGUAUUAAACACUUAAUAGACCAUUAGUUAGUAAAAAAACUUCAAAAGUUUCGCCAAGAAGCUUGUAAUACUUUCUUUUAUCAAUAUAAACCAAGUUUAAAUAGCUUGUUUAGUUGUAAUGUAACCAAAGAAUAAAUAGACUGUAAUCUAUUUAAAAGGCUUUUGAUUGAGUUCGUUUUUUAAUAUGUAAUCUAUCACAGCGUGGGGGGCUAGGGAUCCUGAUAAUGUUAAUUUCUCCUAUUUGAUAUUAUAUGAAUCAAAUUAAUAUUCAUGAAAUUCACUCAAAGCAAUCUCUCUUCAAAGAAAUUCAACCGUAUUUCAAGACAAGGAAACUUGUAAAGUAUAUGUGAAAUUGAGGACAAUCAACAAGAAAGAGAGCAAUCAGCCUAUAAAACACAAGAUACAGAACAAAAACACAUUCAGGCAAGCGAGAGCGAGAUCUAGUGCACAUCAAAAGAGAAGCUUAAAAAAUCGAGUCCAACUGUUUGACAAAAUGCCUGACGGACAAAUGAGUGGAAGCAAGAAAAUUGUCUGAAGCACCACAUAGUUUUCCGAGUUGGAGAAAAAAGGAAUUACCCAUUUGAAUAAAUCGUACAACAAACAAUGAAGUAGAAAGAGAAAUGUAGAUAGGAAUAAGAAUUAGACAAAAAAGUUCAUUCGAUCCCGUCGAGCAGAGGAAGGGAAAGGAAAGUUGAGGAAGAGAGACAUACUAGGGAUGGCAGAAGUCGGAGGAAAACAUGACGGCGACGGGGACGUAGAGAAAUGGAAAGAGGUGGAGAGGGGAUUGGAGCUGAGGAGAAAGGAAGCCAUGGUGUGAACUGGGAGCCCCUCGCUUACCUUCGGAUAAGCUUUUGUAUAACAUUUUGAAUAUACAUUCAGAAUUUAAUUUUACUUUAUUUCUUGUCCAAAAACACAUUUUUAUCCCUAAAUUUAGUGAAUAAGGUAAAAAUAUUUAGGAGUAAAUUUCAAAUUGACUGCCCACUCAAAUUUCAAUUUUUUGUCUAAUCAAUCAUUCAAUUUAAUGAACCAAUAAAUCUCUAAAUUUAUACUUUCUUUUCAUUGGGAUAAUAAUAAUAUAUGAAGAUUAAACACUCAAGUUUAAAAGUCUGUAUAAAUUGUUUAUGUUUAGAGACGUUAUAGCCUUGUAUGAAGCAUGUAGUGGAGUGGUCUAAUAGCCACCCCUUAUAUGCGACAAGGUUUAAUUUUAGUCUAAUUAUGAUUAGAAUUUCAAAUAAGUCAUUUUACUAUUUUUCAAUCUAGGUGGAUUUUUAUUUGUUUCAAGAAUCGUUCAAUUCGUCGAUCAACUUUCUUAUUUUUGAUGACUGUCGUUGUCCAAUCUCUAACUAACUCUUAUGGUGACUCAACCUGAGGUACUUUCGACCACAACUAGCCUCCAAUCACCCUUGUUUACUAACUGUUCUAAUAUAUAUACAAGAAGAGUUGAAAUGGUAAAUUAGGCAACAUUUUAGUGUAAAAUAAUAGUCCAUUAGAUUGCAACUAAUUGUGUAAGUAAAUUAGGCAAACUUUCUAAUUUUUUAUUCUUAGAAAAAGAAUAUAAUUUUCCAAUAAUUGAAUUUAAGAUUAAAAAUGCUAGUUUAUUUCAAUUUGAACAUAGUAGAAUUAAAAAAGAAAACUCCUAUAUUUUUUAAAUUAAUCAAGGUGACAAAAGUUAAUGAAAUUUUAUUUCAAAAUCUAAUAAAAAAUUAAAAUAUAGUAUUUACAACUUUUAAAAAAAAAAUGUAAAUAUCAUUGCAAUUUUUAUCUCUAAUAACAAAACAAACAAAAUAUUAUUUUGUCCAUAAAUUCAAGAUUUGUGCGGGUUAGUUUUGAAUUCAAGGUUGAACUCUCUCUUCAUAUUCUCACAACAAUAUUGGUACAUGAUCGUUUCAUUUAGAUUCAGUACAUAUAUGAAAUCAUUACUAAGUUAAAUUAUUUGUAAAUAUUUUUACGAUUUGUUCUAUUUUAAAAAAACUCGAAAAUGUAUUAUUUGAAAAAAUUUAAAGACAUUCUUCAAAUUAAUUUAUUCCAAAUGUACUAUUUUGAAACACAAUUCAAAAAAUAACAAGUAAAAGAAAGUAUCUUAUUUUUUAAAAAAGAAAAUAGAAAAGGAAAGUAGAUGGAUAUGCUUUAUUUUUUUAUUAUUAGAAAUAGAUAUCGUUACAUUUUUACCUUUUCCAUUAUUAGAAGUUGAAUUUCAAAAAAGGAAAAUAACAAAAAUCAAAUAUAAUUUUACCUUUUCCUUUAAGGAUAUGAAUUUAUGUUUGAAUACUUUUAGUUAUAUGCAUUAUGUAAACCUCAUCACACACUCCAUAUCUUCUUCUUUCUACUCUUUAAUAAAAUCUCUUCUCCACUAGAGCUUUAGGAAACAUCUCUCACCUCAAAUGUAACUUUUCUUUCUCUAAAACCUUUAACUUUUCUUAUUUUUGCACAAAUUAAUUGUUGUUCUUAUUAUAUAGUUUUUAUUAAAGUAUGUCUAACAUGUUUUUCUUUCAUUCAUUAUGUUUAGUUUAGUUCCAAUGUAAUUAACUAGUGGUUAAUUAAUUCUUCCAUAAUACCAUUUGUUUAUUUGAAUUGUGCUUUACGUGAAUUUUGUUUUCUAAUUCUUACCUGCUGCCAUUCUUAAAUAAUCAAAUAAAUCUUAACAGAGUUUGUUCUUUCAAAAUCUUAACAGAAAGUAGUUUAGUUCUAUUUUACUUGAAGUUGUUAAUUUUGUAUAUUAUAUUUUCCUAUUAAAGUGUAUUGUUGAUGCAGUCAUCGUUUCAAUUCAAAUUUCUAGUUGAAGCUUUGUUUGACACCUUCAAUGGAAUAUCAAAUCUCUCGAUACUCAACUACGGCAGUGGAAGUAGAUAUAGAUGUUCCGAAGUGGACAAAAAUCCCGAAGCAUCCAUCACCAAUCGAACUAAUUGGCUUGCUCUUCACCCUACGUCGUCGUUGCAACCGCUUUCAGGUGCUGGAGAACGGUGAACGACAAUUAGUAGAGGAACAAGAGAUAUCAAAAGUUCCUCUAUGCGACCACCAAUUCCCUGUUGAAAUAUUUAAUGGAGACAGCAGUUCUCUAUUCCAAUACCUCUGUUGUAGCUUCGAAAACUACGAAUCUAAAAUUGAUGCAGAGGUGGUAGCAAGUGUCCUAAUCGAGCAGUGGAUUGAAAUAAGGAACCAAGUGAAUUCGAGAAGCCGAGAUAAAGUAUUUUCAAUGACGGUGAAUUUGACAAUCACAGAUGUUGUGCUUCAAUAUGUUGUUGGCGAAGACGGCAGCACAUUUGGUGGAGAAGAUCAUAGAGUGGUUCCAGCAUGCGACAAAGCUCUUAAGAAGAUGUUGAAGAGAUUGGAAAUGAGAGAGGAAGAUGAAAGAGUUUGUGUGAUAUGUUUGGAUGAAGUUGGGAAAAAGAAGAAUGGAAGGAUUGGUUUGGAAAUGCCUUGUUUACAUGUGUUUCAUGGGAAAUGCAUUGAAAAUUGGUUCAAAAAUAGCCAUUGUUGUCCAAUUUGUAGAUUUGAAAUGCCAAUCAGUUCAGACUUAGAUGAAGAUUCUUGAGAAUUUUAGUGAAAGAACAGAUAUAAUCUUGUUUUUCUGAAAUUCUUUUGUUAUUUUUUCCCCUCAUUUAUUAAAUUAGGAUUUUUGUUUCCUUCCCUUCACCCACUCCAAUUUAUAUAUAUCUGUGUUGAACAUUAAUUAUAUAUUUAAAAAAAAAACUUAAUUUCUCACUCUACUGCUAAUCGACUAAUUGUAACACUAUAUUCUAAAAAAGCAGAAUUAAUCCUUAAAGUAAUUACAUAAAAGUUAAUUUCUUUUUAAGGAAAACAAUACAAGGAAUGGUACUUCUCUCCUAAAAUUUUCAUUUUGAAUAAUCUUCAAAGCCAUUCUCAACCAAUAAACUGAUCCUCAAUGCAUGGUAGUGUUUGUCUUUCCCAUUCAAAGAAUGAGAAGUUGUGUUAGUGUACAUCAUCCAAAUGAACUCCAUAAACAUUCGCCUUGAACUCAAAAGUUCUUCAAGACCGAGAACUUCGGUAUCUCGAAUCAAAGAAAGCUAAUCAAAGUCCAAUGAGAUAAAAUUUGACCAUUACCUAAUAGUAAUGUGCAUCUAACAAUAUUCUCAAUCAUUGAAAAGCACAAGGCUCCAUUUUCCAACCAAUCUCUUCUAAAAGAUCUUUACUUGAAGAGGUCUGGAUUCAACCAAUCCCUGCAAAAUUUUGAAGUUUAAAACAAAGCUUUAACUUUUAAAUUCAUUCAUGAUUGAAAAAGGGAAGGGGGAUUGUGUGUUGUACUUGCUAAUGUCGUCAAGGUGAUCAUCGAAGUCCACCACAUCUUGCCAUUUUUCAGAUGAUAUGAAAUCCAACAGGACCACGUUUGCUGAAGGUUCCUUCAUCAUCAGCUGGCUGCUUCCAUCUGAUCCAGCCAACUUCCAGUUCUUGGAAGUUUCCUUUGUGUAUAGCUGGUAGGAGACAAAACGAACAAAAUGAAUGAGAAGAGCAUUAAUGCGACCAUCUCCUCAUGCUUAGUCUCUACCAUAUUUCAAGAUGAAACUAACAACGUAGACAAGGCCUAUAGUUUACAAGUAUUCCUAGAUUAGAAGACAUCCGGUUCAGUCAGGAUGCAUAAGUUGAAUGCAGCACAAACAGCUAUGAUAAUCAGAUAGUGUUAAUUGUAAACUGGAGUUAUUCAUAAAAUGCAAUCACAUCUUGAUUAAACUAAACGAUUCCAAAGAAACCUUAUACAGGUCAUCUCGGAAUCAAUUUGAAUAUUAGAAAGAGUAAAAUAGCUAUGCUAAGGUGAUAAAAGGCAAUUGGAACGAGAAGCAAUCGGAAUCUAGAAAUGCUAGCUCGCAGAAGACUCCCAAUCUUAAAGUGAACUUCCAACGACACCAACCCCCAGUAACACUCACUCAUAGGAUUUUAAAUCAGGCCACCAUGAACUAAAUCCAAUCACUCUAAAGAUGAAGGUCUGCUUGACGUCGCAAUAGAUAGGGACUAGGGACUUACAAUUUUUUGUUUAAUUUGUUCAUAAUUUAUGCUUCUUUUGGGGUAGGACAAUUAUGGGCUAAUGGGUGGGUUGCAAUAUUUAAAGGGAAAAAAAGAAUCUAGCUUGUCCCCUUCAAGUAUCUGGGAGAGGACAUGCUAGCCAAAAAAACAAUUUAUAUGGGAUACCUGAAUUCACAUAUUAGCCACAUAUCCAAAGCAUACCUGAACAAACCAACAUCCAAUACAGAUUCUUUUUCUCAAACGAAGUAUCAUAGAUUCUAUAUAAUAGUGUAGGAAUCCAUUUGGAAACAAAUCUGAUACCCAUGAUUCUCCCUUCCGACCCAAAUUCUUUCACCAGAUGACCACUCUGCUACAUUUAAGUACCAAAGAGAAAUUCAAAGAAUUCUAAUGAAGAUGGCCGAUCGCCAUAACUUAAACUUGUCCUCUCUUUGGCCCUUAGUCACUAGUCCAACCCAAGGUAGCUGGUAAAACAAGAAACUCCAACAGGAUAAAACCCAUUUUUUCCUUUUUAGGAAAAUGCAGAAGGGAAUGAUCAAAUAAGGUUGAUUCACGAAAUCCAAAAUUACUUGCGAAGUUAAAUGAAUAAAAGGAGAAUAUAAACAUCCAGGUCUAUCCCACUCCACAAUAUAGAUGGUAUGCAUUCCUCCAACACCCAAUCUCUCAAUCUUUGUUUGUACACUGAACUUCGAACAAUUAAAUUUGUCUUGCACCAAAAACCCUAACAAGAUUUACAAUAGAAAAAACAUAUAGCUUCAAGCCACCACUUUUGGAUAGCUGGGUUGAAUUUUGAAAGUCCAUAGAAGACCCCAAAAGGAAAGAGAUAAAGAAAUCCACUUCAUUGCCUCCCCACCACGGAGAAUCCACCUAAAACAUAAGCCCUCUCCGUGGUGGGGGAAAACUAAAUGAAGGAGUGGAAUGACUCUCCACCUAUAGGGUAAAAAAGAUUCUAUUGAAGUUUCUCCUAGACCCAUCCACAGAUUCCAUGCUGAGCAUCUGAUGAAAUCCUACAAUACAAUAACGCCGGAGCAGCUCCGACCAAAAUUAGAGAUCACACUCCCAUUGCCUCUCUCAAACUUUCACAUCCUAAAAGAAACCCCACAAGCUGUACCCAAAUCCAAUGCAGAAUCAGUACAAGCCAACAAAAUUUAGAGAACAUUGAAACAGAUUCAGAAAACCAAAUAAAUUUGAAGAUCUAGUUACUACUUACUACCACUGGCUCUAUUCUAUGAUAACGAGUAAGAAAGUCAGUAAAAAUCUCCAGCAUACUUUUUCCUAUAUUGCAAUUGCAAAGAGCAUCAGCAAUAAUAAAUGAUAUUGCCAUAACAUUCAACUCUCCAUGAAUGGAAGAGAAGCAAGAAAUUGUCUAAAGAAGACGAUACUAUAAAGCAUUCUCGUGACCUUUUAGUUUAAGGUCAAAUCCAGCAUUUGGGAAACCUAAAAAGAAUAUCCCCUCAAUUGUCGGAUGAAUUAUGAAUUCACAAUGUUACAAAGCUACUUUACGAUGUUCCACAGUCCUUGAAUACCAACAAUAUUCAAAUUCGGCAUGUUCAUGAGAUAAAAUUUUGCUCCUUCAAAUGAUUUUCAACCAAAAGUACAAGAGAAAAUAUGGUGGAAAUUCAUUGAGGCAAUUCUAAUGUAGCGUUCAAAUAAAUUUACAAAACCAUGAUAAGAAUUCUAUAGCGAUAAACUCACCUCCAUUACAGGGCUUCUAUCCUUUCUCUUCGGCAAAGCUUCAAGUUUCCUGUGAUCUAACUGCAGAGGAGCAUAAGUCAAACAAAACGAAAUAUACAAAACAAAACAGCACAGAUGAAGCACAAUAGGACAAUUCUUACCAAAAGAAGAGCAGCAUGUGGAAAAAAUCGAGAAAUAUGAUCACCAAUAUUCUUGGCUACACCGCCGACCUCAUAGUCAUCAAAUCGCUCAUUGGCAUGAAAGUACCCCACAAUAUUCAAUCCCUUAGCCGCAUAGUAUUCUUCAAUCUGAUAGCAAAUCAAGCAUGUCCACGACCUCAUCAAUCACAGAUCUCAAAUAGGAAGUGAAAAGGAGUAAACAUGGCAUCAAACACAACAAAUUCGCACACGAGCAACCAGUUUGCAUAAACCUAAACAUGAAAUACCGAUGUAAAAUGGUUCAAAGGAGUACCAGAAGGAGAGAUAUCUCGAGCUGAGGAAGGAGACCGAUGCUGGAGUGGAAGAGAGGGACGGAAUCGGAAAUUUCAAUGACGUCAUUGGGACCGGAGAUGCGACCUAGAAGGACUCCAUUGACGGCGGUGGUCCGGUGCUUUAGGGCAUGGAGAACAAGUUUGAUGUAAGCAUUUUGAGAGAUCUCGAAGCGUAGAUCGCCGCCCAUGAGUCGGAAAUUGGGAAAUCUCCCGUUAAGUGUGCCGGAAGAGACGGUUGAGAGAGGAGGCGGAGUUUACAGCCAAAGUGAAGCCGUAUGGCUAAGUAUGGCUAAUUAGUAGAGAAGUGAGAAGAAAUGACAAAAUAAAUAAAUAAAUAAUGGGUUAAUUUUAUAAUUUUCUUUUUAAAAAAUACAUUUUGAAAUUUUAUUAAUAAAGAAAAAUACAUUUGAUAUAAAGUUUUAACAAAUGUUAUACUUACUACAUUUAGGUUGAGUACCAAAAAAUGAUACAUACGAUAUGACCAUUCGAGUCAUCAUUUUGAGAAGAAAUAUUAGAGGACAUAAAACCAAAGAAAAAAAUGUUAUCAAAAUUAUCAUCACAACAAGCAAAGAAUCUCUACAUAAAUUAUAGAUCUAAGCCCAACCAAUUCACUUUUGUUUUCUUAAGAAAAAUUUACUCACCCUGAUGCUUGGGUAUUAAGAGUAAUUGUCUUUUAGAAUAUAACAAAUCACCUUUCUUCUAAGUGUAGCACCAUGCAUAAAAGAUCAACGAACGAAAUCUCGUGGAUCUACCGAACAUCAUGCAUGAGAAUAAGUAGUAUAGACUUUGAAUUUUCCAUUGAGCGACUGCAUGGUGUCAUAGACAUAUUUUUCCAAAUUAUGUUUACCUUUGGUUAUAUACUUCGAUUACCCCCAAUUUAUCUCAUCUUUAGUUUGCAUAACUAGUUUAGGUGUUUGCGUGUUUGCUUUUCAUUCUAGGUCAUAAAGCUUGGGUGUGACGUUUCGGCAUUUUCAGGCUUGAAAAUGUACUAUAGGGGGAGGCAUACUUGGGUGUGACGUUUCGGCAUUUUCAGGCUUGAAAAUGUUCAAAAUGUACUAUAGGGGGGGCCCAAGCCUUGUUGGUGUAUUGCAUACCUGUUGAAUCCCCGCCCAAGCCUUGUUCACACAGUUGCAUAACUAUUUGGUGUAUUGCAUACCUGUUGAAUCCCCGCCCAAGCCUUUGUUCACAUAGUUGCCAAAGCCCACCCACCCAUUUGGCCAAGUGGAUGGAAAGCACACAUGGUGACAAGGUCAUACUAUCAUCAUCAACAUAAUAUAUAAUCUCUUAGUAGUACUUAGCUAUUUAUGCCCAUUUGCUUCUUCCAAUUUUAUCAAUGUGGGACAACAAGAGAGGUAAAUUUGCAUUGGGCAAAAGGUCCACAGUCUUUUCCAACAUAUGAAACUUGAGCGUUGCACAAGGAGGGAGAGAAUACCUUUGAACUUCAAUGGAUAGACAAAAAGACAUUGAACUAGAAGAACGAUGAGGGAGUUAACUCAAAAAACAGUGGAAGCAACCAUUUCUUUUCUACAAUUAGUGAUGGUAAAUCAUUAAUGAAGUAAAGAGAGAUUGAUAUCCAAUAACUUGUUACAGUGGAAAAGUCCAAAUAAACAAAAGAUAGUGAAGUUCCUUUAGAGGUGCAAAAGUGGUUUGAUGAAUUACCACAACUUAGAGAAAAAUCCAAGGGGUUACCACCCUUGAGAGAUAUUCAACAUCAUAUGUCAACUUGGUUUGAGGUGCUACAAUCCCUAGUCUUCCUCACUAUAGGACAAAUCUAAAGAAGUAUGAGAUCCACCACAACCAUAUUGAAGAAUUAUUAAGGAAAAGAAGCACAUUCAAUCAAGCCUUAGCUUAUGUUGGAGGAUGUCCAUUGAUAAUAGAGUAAUCAAUUAGAUCGCAACGGAGUAUAACUUCUCAAUUCCACGAAUAAGUGACUUGAUCAAUUUGAAGGAGCCUUGAUUUUUUUUAAAGUGGACCUCAAGGGUGAAUACCACCCUACUUGAAUAAGGUCGAGGGGUGAGUGGAAGAAUGCAUUUGCAAACCAAUGGCCAAACCAAAUUACCGCAUCAAGUUGGCUUGUGACAUAUAUACUAGUUUUGUUCUGGAUGUUGCUAAUUUGAAGGCUUAUUCAACUUUCACUUAGCUACUUAACUCACUCGUGGAGGAGUUGAUUUUAGGAGGGGUGGAUUUGGUAAAGCCAAAAGGCUCUUUUCUUAAAUAUGCUUCUUUUAAUUAGCUACCAUUUUGUAACUACCACUUGACAACUAAUUCUCACUAUAAAAAAAAACAUUUGAUAAACCUCCAAUUAUAUUUCAAUAUUAUUGUAAGGGUAAAAAGGGGAAUGUCUGUAUAUAUGGAAAAGGUGAGUCAUGUAAUAGUAGUAUGGAUAAGGAUACCUAGUGGUUAGGAGGAGUUAGGAGGUCUUGGAAGUUAUCUACAAUUAUUUGAGUGGUUAUUUAGUACAAGUUAUAUACAUGUGUAAUAAUUGUAGUGUAAGGGGUGGUUCUGAAUGUGUUUGGUUCUUUAUCAGAGUGGCAGUAAGGAUAUGUGAUCUAUUUACAUGUUAGUAAUUCUUAAAUAAAAGCUUAUCUUUUAGUUCCUAUCACCAUCCCUCCCUCAUUUUGAGAAGAGUUUUCAUUUGAACAAAUUCCUAGAUUUUUGGUAUUACACUACAUAGAUUGAAGUUGAUUAUGGAGAUGGAUAAUGAAUAUACAAAUAUAUACCCAUUGAUCAAACCAAUUUUUUCAAACUUGUCUUUUUGAAAGGUCUGAUUGUGUUUAUAUGAUUUAUAUGUUUUAUCAAACUAUAACAAUUGAAUUCUAACUUGUAAAAUGAUAAAGACUAAAAUAUAAUUUUCUCUUGACCAUGGAUAUCAAAUUUACUACUUAACCAUACUUUUCUUCUAUACUCCAUUGCAUUUUUCCCAUCACAACCACUCAAAUUUGAUUUUUCUUUCAUUGAGAUCAAAUUUCCAACUUUGAGAAAGAUAGAUUAUAUUAUUAAUUACCUAUAGCUAAGCAAAAAUAAUAUUUACACUUCUUUUUCUACACCAAGAACCACACAUAUAAUUGAACCAAACAAAACAACAAGAAACCAUACAAAGAAUUGAACCAAACAAAACAACCAUCUAGAGGCCGAGGGUAGAAGAAACCCCAUCCAAAGACAACUAUUACAACAUCUCUGGUUUGAUAAUAAAUAAAAAUAAUAUAUGUAUAUAUAUAUGUAAUUCUAUACAUACAUAUAUAUAAAAGCACUUCAGCGAGAUGCAGCAAAAUAUUUUUCCCAUUUUAUACUAAUAAUUGAUGUGUCAUUUUUUUGACAUGGAAGAUGGAGAAAACAUCAGCAGAAGCAAUAAGCAGCUACAAAAUAAUUAUAAGGUCAUUUACAUAGGAAAAUUUGCACAAAAAAUACAACAGCCUGUGUAUCUUCUUCAAACAAAGCUGAUCUUCAACCCUUUGUACUACAAACAAACAAUCUCCAAACUUCAAUUCAUGGUGAACUAGUGUAUCGAUAUCCUGAAUACCCCAUUUGGUGGUUCGACGGUUCACUGCUCCCUGCUCCGCCAUGGUUGGAGUUAGAACUAGAUGACCGAAACGGCCACAGAUAAGAGAAUGGAUUGCGUCUACCUGGAUUGACCCGGGAGCCACUCCCGUUGUUGUAGCUGUUGCUUCGGUUUUGAUCGUUGGUGCUAUGUCCCCCACCCCCACCUCCUAUUCCUUGUGGUGGCAGUUCCUGGCGGCAGACAGGGCAAGAAUUGUGCUGGAUUAGCCAUGGAACAAUACAAUCUGAGUGGUACAUGUGAUUACAAGCCAUCUGCCUUGCUUCAGACCCCAGUUCAAAUUUCUCUUUACAAACUGGACAAUGUGAAUCUGAGCGAAGAUGUCGUUGCGUGAUCUUAACUGUUGGCAUUGCAUCGAUUGAUGAUCUAGAUGCUGGUGGAGGGCCACGAUGACCAUUUUCUGAAAGCUGUUCAAAUAGCUCCUCCAGUCCAGGGCCUAUGAAGUAGUCACCACUAUCGCCCCGUGUAAUACCAAUGCCAGGAGCCCCAUUGAAGAGAGCUUCUAACCUGCUGUUUCUCAACGGUAUUUGACCACCAAAUAUUAAUAGAGGACCAAAUCCCGGGCUAUGCUCAAAAAGUGACUCUGAUCUUCCCCUCAUGUCAUUUCUUUCGGCUAAACGUUGUCUCAUAAAAGCAGAGAAUGCACCCAGACCAUGAUCGCGAUCUUCAUCAUGAUCUAGACCAAAGAAAUCAAAUGGAUUUCCAGGCACCAUAUCAUCAAGUUCUUGGAUAAAUCCUCCAUUGCAGUUGGGGCAAACUGCAUCUCUACCACGGAGACGUACUGACCUUCUGCAUCUAUAACACCAAUGGGUGUUCCGACCAGCUGACAUCCUCUCUUUUCCUGCUCUCUACUAAAAUAUAAGCAAAUAACAUCGGAACUUAUCCCUGGAACUCCUCAAGCACCAAAAUAUAUUAUCUCAGCAUAAUGUCUUACUUCGAAAUAUAUAGUCACUAAAUCAACUUCAACGAGUGGAUUAAAUAAAUAAACAACCAAUAUGUCAUAAAAAAGAAACAAAAACCAAACCAUAUAUUAUAAGCCAAGCUGAAAUGAAACAAACCAUCAUUUUAGAAUCCAUACAUACCACUAAGAUCCAACCAUCAACAAAAUUUAUCGUUUAUGCAUAUAUAACAAUCAGAAAACCCAGAGAUCAAACACUUCAUAUUUUUCAUCUACCACACUGUUGACUACCAUUUUGUAGUCCAUUUUUUGGAUUUUCAACAAAAACAUACUUGUACAAACAUAACCCUACAUGAUAUCCAUACUUCCAUGUUAUUUUUUAGAUUUUAAUUAAACAUUAGAAGAUUAGGCUAAAUUUCAAGGCAAUGAAUGGAAAAUUUACAAAAGGACUCCGGUCUGAUGAAAUUACAUGGCUGCUAGCAAGCAUACAGACUGUUAGGCCUACUCAUCUUCAGUCUAACUAUCCUUGUUUAACUAUGGAAAGAUGGGGACAUACUCUUCAGACAAAAAGUGCCCAAAAUCUCAUGAAAUAUCUCAGUUCUUAGUAUUGAACUCUGUCCACAUAAAAAUGAAGAUAGAUCAAAAGAACACAAAAUGACUCAAUCUUGUUCGUUUGUUUUUUGUUUAAUUCUUAGUAAAACAAAAACAAGGGGGUUAAUGAUUCGAACCUAUCUUUAGCCCUCUUAGUUGAGAGCAUUGUCUUAACCACUUGGACUACACUAAAGUCGGGAAAUUGUACACUAUCGAAAAAAGGGUACAACUAAUACUUCUAAAAACUCUAUAAAAAAAUACUCACGAUUGAGUAAAGAUUGAAAUAAAUCAAUCAUACCAAAUUCAUCCAACAGAACAACAAAAAAUGUAAACACAUAAAUGUCCAAAUCCCAACAACAGUCACAAAAACAUUCUACUCCAGCCGCAUAAAUCACUAUAUAAUUAGCCAAAUUCUUAAAAGAAAUAGAAAAAUGAGAGCUUAACUUAGUCGAGGGCAUUAAUUUCUACCCAAGUUGAGACCAAUUUCACCAAAUACAGAGUAAGAAACGAAAAAAAAAAUUGAAACUAUAUUCCAUAGUCCAAACAAAGCAUACAAGAACACAACUUCAAAAGUUCCCACUACAGACAGCGUAAAAGCCCAACCCAACUCAAUACUUUCACUCCAAAUAAGCCACAGAAACCAAUGAAAGACACCCACCAACAAAGAUCCAAACAGUACCCACCCAUUUCAAUAAAUUCCCCAAAAAUCUCAAAGCAACAAAGAUUGAAAACAACAAAGACCCGCAAACUGAAAACGAGAAAAGAGACAGAAAAAGAGGGUUAAACUGUUAAGAGAGGCAUUGAAUUGCAGAAAAAGGUGGAGGAAAAGGUAACCCUAGAAAAUGGUUAGCAGCAGAAAUUCACCUUUAGGAAGACGAAAGAGAAAAGUGGAUCAACCCAAUUUCCUUUUUCUUGAACUGAACAAACAGAGAGAAGAGAGAGAGAGAGAGAGAAGAAGAAGAAGAAGACGACGACAGAGCGGAUGGGUUAACCCAGGCUUUGGGCUACGAGGUCGAGAGAUGAGCGACGUGACCUUUUGUUUUCAUUUUCAUUUUCUAUUUUUAUUUUCUCUCUCCCUCUUUUAUUUAUUUAUUUAUUUUUAUUAUUGUUUGUUUCUUUUAUUUUAAUUGAUUGGACUUUAUGCUUUCUAAUUUGUGGUUUAUAUUAUUUAUAAUCCUUUCAACUACAAAACAUUCUUUUACUUUGCAUUCUAUGCCAAUGCCAUCCUCCUCUUCUUAGUAUAUGCAAUACUAAUGGUCUACUUUACAUUGUAUCAUAUCACUUUCUUCUUCUUACUAUUUGUAAUACUAACCGUAAUAAAUAAUUCUCCUGCUAUGACAGACUAAAAUAAGUUUAGCUCAAUUAUAAUUAGCAUAAUCUUCCUUCCAAGUGGUUGAAGGUUAGAAAAUAGUAUACGGUUUACUGAUGCUCAAACCAUAUUGUGUUUUUUUUAUUACAAAUUUGGUAGUAAGUUUUGGAUUUCACACUAAAACAACUAAACGACAGCAAAUAUUAUCAAGUGUGGCUACGUUUCAUAUUAUUAUGGAUGGAUGGAUAGCAUUGUUAGAAAAUAAUCAUGACUAUGUGUUUCCAACAUUCUCAAGAAUUGCAAUAUAGAAAAAUCUAUCAUGAUAGAUUUCAUCACUGUUUGAUUAAGUCCUAUCGAUGAUAACGUUUAUCACUUAAAAUUCAACAGUUAGAGAUUUAAAAAAAAAAAAAGUGAAACAGUGACUUAUGUGAAUAUAAUAUACAUUUUAAUGUGUUUAAAAAACCUUAGGUAUUUAUCAUUCAGUGUUGAUAUACACUGAUAGACACUGCUAAAAGUUAAUUACUAACGUAUACCAUCGAUAAAAUAUGAAAUUUUGAUAUAUUUUAUAAAUAUUAAAAUAAUUUUGUCCACCUAUAAUAAUUUUACAAACAUACAUAUAUAUGAAUCCAAAGAACAGCUAAAGCAGGGAGAGAAGAUAUGGGGAGGUUUUGUAAUAAUUCAAAGGGAUCACACCAUAUGGCUUCAUCUCUAAUCAUUUUUCUCUCUUCCCCUUCUUUUUUAUUCGAUCUCUCUCAUACUUAUUCAUAGGGAAUAAUAAUGGAACACAUAACUUUUUUUCUCCUUUUCCCUUUUUCAUCUUUUUAUUUAUUAUGGGAUAGAUAGAUUCUCUGUCCUCAUCUUUAUUUCUCGAAACAAAAGAUAUGAAAAAAAAUGAAGAUUAGAUACUUUUCAUAUGAUAUUAGAUAUAGAGACUAAGUUUUGAAAUUUUUGUUUCACUCUAAACAGAAAUGUAAAAUUGAUCACUAUUAUUGAAAAAUAUUGAUAAGUGUUUGAGGAAGAAAUUUUUGUCAAUUAAAUUUCAUCACAUCAUCACAUUAAACAUUGUGAUAAUUAUAAUUUGAUUGGAUUUGGGUAAUUAAGUUUUCUCAUACCCAACCCAAUUCAAACCCUAGAUAUAAAAGUUUGGUCAAACGAAGAUAAGGGGUCCAAGUCCAAAAGACAAAUGGGCCCAAGCGCAAGUUCAUUCAACAAAUUGGUCCAAAUUCAAGCCCAACAGACAAAUGAGGUCAAACCCAAGUCUAGCAGGCAAAUGGAUCUAAGCUCAAGUCUAACAUGCAAAUGGGUCCAAGUCGAAGUCCACUAAGCAAAUUGGCCUAAAACCACCUAAAGCCCAUGGAAAUUAUCUAUAAAUAGAGACAUUAUUCUCAUUCAUUUUAGAGAUCUUUGGUUGAAAGAAGAAUUGAAGCUUUGAAGAAUUGAAGACUCAAACUUCUAAAAUGUCUCAAGACGUGCAAACUUUUAUCAACCUCGAAAUCAUCAUCUUUUGAAAGAUUGAAAACUUGGAAGAUAUUUAAAGUUUCCUUGAAUUCUAGAAGAAUGAAGCUCAAGUUGAUCUGCAACUAUAACUUCUUGAACACUGAAGAUCAAGAAGUUCAAAAUUUUAAUUUGUAUUUGAGAGAAAACAUCAAAUGAGUAAAUAUUAGAGAUUAUAUCCCCUAUAUAAACCAAUAUACAAAGUUCAAUUCCACGAAUUCAUUUCUCUGAAAAUCUUGUGUGAACAGUUUGGCAUGCCCAGUGGAACCGUCUCUACCUUUCAUCUUUUUUUCUUUUUGAAGAACAUCUAAAGAAAUCAUGACAUCUCAAGGAAACACUUUCAAAGCUCUAAGCGACAUCGGCAAGCGUCCAAAUACUCGCAGCCGCUCACGAAAAACUCAAUCAUUUGAGGAUAUGUCAUCCUUUAAGGACGUAAAGAAUAUUUGAAAACAAAUGUCCAACCCAUAAAAAGGUGGAAUCGUAAUCAAGGAAAAUCUUGUGAUUGACGAACACAACUCGCCCUCUGAACGUUCAAAUGAGAAGAUGCCACAUUCAAAUAUAAUGUCAGUUAUAGUGACUGGCGUGGAUACAAACGAAGACAGAAUGACAAAGCUUGAAAAGAAGGUUAACAUGCUCAUGAACGUCGUUGAUGAAAGGGAUGACGAGAUUGCAUUGCUGAAGAAUCAUAUCAAGAGUUGUGACGCUGCUAAAUCAAGUCACACACAUACCAUCAAGAAUACUGACAAAGAGAAGGAAGUUAUGUAAGAAAGUCAACCACAAAAUUCAACCUCAAUUGCAUCACUGUCUGUUCAGCAGUUAGAGGAGAUGAUUGCAAACUCCAUCAAAGCUCAAUAUGGUGGAUCUGCUCAAACUUUCUCUUUCUAUUCCAAGCUAUAUAAAAAAAAAGAUCGACAAUCUGAGAAUGCCAAACGAGUACCAGCCAUCCAAGUUCUAACACAGUUUGAUGGAAAAGGCAACCCAAAACAACAUGUUGCUCAUUUCAUCGAAACAUGCAAAACUGCUAGUACGCAAGGAGAUUUCUUGGUACGUAAAACAGUUCGUUCAAACUCUCAAAGAAAAUGCCUUCAACUUUAGAGGGACUUUCUCAAGCACUUCUACAGCACCCAACGUAUCGUCAACAUGAUGGAGUUGACAAACACCAAACAACGAAACGGGGAGCCAGUCAUCGACUACAUAAAUCGAUGGAGAGCUCUAAGCCUGGAUUGUAAAGAUAAGCUCACAGAACUGCAUGCAGUGCAGAUGUGCACCCAAGGCAUGUAUUGGAAACUUCUCUAUAUUUUGCAGGAAAUAAAACCACACAUGUUUGAAGAGUUGGCAACUCUUGUCCAUGAUAUGGGACUGAGUAUCGUCAAUAGAGGAACAAAAGAUUUCUUAGUUUAAAAAAUGAGGAGUGACAAAAAUAAAAUUGAUGACACUAAAAAGAUCGCAUAUAGUGUCAUAAAAGAGUUUGUGGUUGUUCAUUCAACUCCUUUGAAAUCUUUCUCUAAAAGGAAAGAAAUAAAAUUAAAGAAAAGUAUGGUGGCGAUGAAAAGCAACGCCUAACUCUUAGAAAAAGACAAGAAAAAGUUUAUUCAUUUUCUGACUAUAAUGUUGCAGACAUGUUAGAGCAUCUGUUAGAGAAGCAACUCGUUCAACUACCAGAAUGAAAACGAUCAGAACAAGCAAGAAAAGUAGAUGAUCAUAAAUAUUGUAAGUACCAUCGGAUCAUUAGUUACCAUAUCGAAAUUACAACUUCAUGAGUUUACUUUUAAAAAACGUUUUCAGAGACGAACAUUCUCGGUUGGUCGUUUAUGCUUUAGCAGAAAAUCUUGUUAUAUGUAUUCUGAUGCCAUUUAAAAUAUUUUUUGAUUAAGGGCUAGGAUUCCGUACUUGUAAAUUGUUGGAACUUGAUUGGAAAUGUACGAAUAUUAUAAAUUGUAUUAUAGCGUAUAUAUAUUAAAGUGUCGGCUAUUUUUUUCUAUAUGGGUGUCAAUAUUAUAAAUUCAAAAUUGUCAUUGUCGGGUACAUUAUUGUCAUUCAAAUGGUUCGUGUAAUGGCGGAGUGGCAAAGAGAACAGGAAAAAUUUGUAGUAAUCGAGUAAUUUGCAACAGGAAAAACAUGUCGUAAUAUAUGAAUUUGUGACAGUUAUUAAUUGUUGUGAAUACCAAAACAAUGACAGUUUUUUUUACAAAAUUAAUUGUCACGAUUGCCCUAUCUUUGACAGAAAGAAAAUGUCGUCAAUAGCAAAAUAAUGACAUUUCUUUCAAAAAAAACUGUCGCGAUUGAUAUAUCCGUGACAUUUAAAACAUGUCACAAUAAACGAAUUCGCGACAUUUAUUUAACUUUUGCGACAUUUAUUUAACUGUCAUUAAUACAUAAAUGAUGAUAGUUAUUUUUUGUCGUAAAAUAAAAUAUUACAGUUAUUUGAUGUCGUAGAAUGCUAACUAACGAUAUUUAUUUUAUGUCAUGAAAUAAGUUAUUGUGACAGUUUUUGAAAACUGUCAUGGAAGGACUUUCCAUGACUCCCUCUUCUAUGACUGAAAAUAAUUGUCAUGGAUUUUGUUCGUGACAGUAAAUAACUAUCGUCGUAGACCAUUUUUCUUGUAGUGUCACUUGAUUGUCUAUUUAAUUGAAUAUCUAAAAUAUACCUAAUAUACCCACUCUUUCAUAUGUGUUAUUGAAUAUAUACAAUACUAAACUCGAAAUUUCUAACUAGAUUAUGUUCGAGAAUAUUUGUAUUUGUCGGCCGUUGAAUGUCUUCUUCUUCACCUCCGAACUCUCUAAAAUUUCAAAGUAAAAAUUGUAAUCCACGUUGGAAUAAGUAGACGACCGUUUUCGUAAAAGGAAAGCAUGAAAGGUUUUCCACUUCAUUCCAAAACUGCAUCUCAUGAUAUUUUUUCAUUUAGAUAUUUGUUAUAAAUCAAUUAAAUAAUAGAAAUUGGUAUUAAAUUAAUUUGGGUCUCACUUCUUUCCAUUCACGAUUUUUUCAAUUUAGAUAUUUGUUAUAAAUCAAUUAAAUAAUAGAAAUGGGUACAUUUGUGUAAUAUACUGGCCCAUUUAGGACUUUUGUGAAAUUUAUUGGUAUAUUGGAUCCUUCGUGUAAUAUGAUGUAGCAACUUAGGCUAUAUAAGUUAAAGACCCAAAAAAUAUUUACAAUAAAAUUUCAAGUAACAUUAUAAUAAGGGGUGAGUGGAAAUAUAGCAAAUUACUACAAAUUAAUUAAGGAUAUAACAAAUUUUUAAAAGAUGAAAAUACCCCAAAAUACACUUUACUUAUUGUCUUCCAUCUUCCACUUUCUUCUUUUUCUUCAUAUUCCUAUUUUCUUUAAAGAUUUUAUUUUUCUCCACAAUUUUCUCAUUCUCCACAAUUUUCUCAAUUUUUCAUCUUCACCGUUUUCUCCAUUCUCCAUCUUCACCGUCUUUUUCUCCCUUUUCCAUCUUCACCAUUGUUUCUUCUCCACCUUGUUUGUGAUUUUCUCCUAUUUUAAGAUCAUUUAUUCUCUUCGUGAUUUUCUUUCAUCCCACUUUGAUAUUUUUUUUAAUGUGAUUCUUCCCAAAAAUUUUACUUCAUCCAAUUUUUACAAUUUGAUUUAAUUUCAUCACUUUAGGUUGAUUUUGUUCAAUUCAAUUGAUUUUACUAGUAUUUUUAUAUUUAAAAAUGUGUGGGAAUAGAGGUAGUAUUACACUCAUAACAUUGAUUAAUCAUAAUUCUGAAUCGUUGCAAUAUAUAUAUAUACAGUUUAUCAUCCUAGUGUUACACUCAUAGCAUUAUAGAAGAUAGAGUCUAUCACUGAUUGACUAAUAUUAGUAAUGACCUAAGAUACGAGUCUAUUAUUGAUAGACUACUAUUAGUGAUGGACUAGGAUACAGAUCUAUCAUUGAUAGACUACUGUCAAUGAUGGACUAUGAUACAUAUCUAUUAUUGAUAUACUACUAUCAGAAGACAAGUUUGCAAGGAAGAAGUCUGCACUACAGAUUUUGGUGAUAAGAUGCAUCUGCCAAACAAAAAGCACACAUAACAAAACAAAAUCAAUAAUGUUCUAAAACUCAAGGUAAUAUCAAGCCAAUCUUGGUCGAGAAUAUCGUGAAUAACAAUGAAACUCGAGCCACAUUACAUUAAAAGUCCAUGAGAUUCGAGUUUUACAUGCAUUCUGUGAUGUAUCUUGAGUUAAUCUCAAUCGAAAUCGACACCAAGAACCUUACAGAAUGCAAUGGAUCUCGUGACUGAUUCAACAAAUCUACAUGAACCCAGAUUGAUGAAAUUGCUGAAAAUUUUCUAACGAAACCACUUGCAUUAACUUAAAACCGUAUACCAAACACAACUCCAACAGCCUCGGAUGUCCACAAAUAACCUAUUCGCUACAUAUUUCACAAAUAACCUUAAAUUCUAAACUUAAAACAAAGCCCUAAAUUAUCAAAUAAUUCAAAGUAAAUUACCUCUACAAAUUAAAGCUUCGGAUACAUUUCGUAAGGUUUGCUACGCAAAAGCAGCCAAUCUUAAGAUCAAAACGUUAAAACUCAGGAGGAAUGAGAUGUUUAUUUGAUGAAAGUGAAUAUCAAACAUUCGAAAAAACAAAGGUAUUUUGGUAAUUUAAACAUAUUCUUCAUUUUGAAUUUUAAAAACAAAAUAUCAUAUCUCAUGAUCGAUUCCAAUUGAGAUGGUUCGAAAAAACAAAAAGUGUAAGCUUUUAAAAAGUGCGCUACUUUUGAAAUGUCAAAAACCUAAACUGCUUCGUUUUUAUCAUUUUCUCAAUAUACAUAAAUUUUAAAAAUAUGAUGACCGGUAGACCUUCAUUUUUUCUCUAAAAGAAAUUAUUCAAUAAAAAAAGGAAAGAAGCUCCUUUAACAAAAUUCUAAAUUCUUGAAAGUUAUAAAUCAAUUAAAAAGAAGUUUCAGUGUAACCAAAACAACAAACCAUUUUGCUAUGUCUUGUGAGUAGCAAAAGAAAGAAAGAAAGAAAUACAAAAAAAAUGACUUAGGAACCACUCAACUUUUCAAGUCCAAAUAAACAACCCAACUUCAAUAGUGGAUUUCGUUAGAAAUUCAAAUUUUUUUUCAAAUAACUUCAUCUUUUUGUCAUAUAAUUUUUACAUUUAUGGAAAAAACUUCAUCUUCCCUAUACCAAUUAACUUCACCUUCAAACCUAUACACCACAAAUACAAACUUCAACAAAUUAAAUGGAGAACUUUGUUUUACAAGCCUACGCUCCAAACACCCACCAAAAACCCUUCAAUUUUUUCCAUUAAGAUAGAAGUUUUUUUACGAAUACUUCAGGAUACUCAAAUUUUCAUUUUUCAUGUUAAUGUAAAAUGCUCCCAUUCUCCAAAGUGGAGAAAUCCCAUGAAAGGAAACAGUAAAUAGUGACCAGUGACCAAUAAUCAACGCAGGGUGAUGAUAUAAAAACUAAGUUUACAUAAACAUUCAAAUCUCUCAACUUUCAAAUUCUGCAGGUGAAAAGGAUGGGAAAAAGAGGAAGGAAAAAGAAAAUUUCAGUACUCCACAUAAAAGAGAGCUCAGCUCUUAUUAAUUUGUAAGUUCCAUAAUGGCAGACACAAUAUCACCCUCCGCUGCUUUGAGUGCUUUCACGGCUCUUGGUCUAGAUACCCCAGCCUGAGUCAUCACCAGUUCAAUGUCCUUGGGUUCAACCCCGGUCUCAUCAACAACUUCGUCAUCUUGAGCUACGGUUGAUGGCUCAGGCUUUGAUGUCAAAUUACUCAAAUUAGGAGCCUUGAACUGCUCUGCAGCCUGGGUCUGUAGCUGGGAGCUCAAAUCUUCAAUCUUUGCUUCCCCGAAAACAAUGUAGGUGUCUGAGGUGGGACUUUUGAAGACAUCUGGUUUUGAAAUGACAAAAAGAAUCUGCAGAGAAAAUGCCAUAGAUAUUAGAUAGAAUCAAUUAAGAAAUAUCACAUUUGGGAUGUUGAAAAAAACCAACAUUUUUGCUCUUCUUCACUGUGACACGGCUCACACCAGGAAUAGGCUUCAUUCCAAGCUUUAACAUUGCUUUACGACUCUUUUUCUCACUUCUACUUUGCUUAGACCUACCACUGGCCUCUCCAUGUCCUGCCACAAGAAACUCCCAUCUCACAACAUAUACCAACCAAGUAAGACAUGUGCGACACACAAACACAAAACUGAGAAAGCUUGAGGCAACAUUCCAAAUUAAAUGGAAACAAACACAAAGUAUCUGCAUUCACUAGAUAGAAUUUACUCAACAUUUCUCUGCCAAUAAAAACUUGAACUUAUUUUUAAAAGUUAUAAUAAAAGUGCACACACACAUACAUAUAAUAAUACCCUGCACCACAGCACAUGGGGAAUGAAUAAGAUAAUAACAUAAUGAAUCCAACAACUACAAUCAUUUGUCACUUAAGAAACCAUCCCUGUGAACAAAAUCCAGAAGCAAGCAAAAACUAAACUCUUGAAUCUCCUUGCAUUCUACUUAUAGCAAAAUUAACCAAAUGAAUUGACAUGAUUUGGAAAAUCCUAUAAUGCAUAACCAUAUGAACAAUAUAAGAAAAAUUAAGAAACUUAACCAAAAUAAGUAGAAACGAAAAAAUCAAUUUUUUAAUUUAUCACUUCAACUCUUUUUUCGGAGUCCGGCCACGAGGUCUGAUAAGUAUGAACCAUAGUUCUAAUAUUUGUUCUAAUAUUUUGGAAGAGUUAAUAAGGAAACCUUUACACAAGGUUUUGAUAGAAAUGUUUAUUAGAGGGAUAUUACGGGUAUUUAGUAAAAGGAAGUUUGGAUAUAGAUGCAUUGAGUAGGGGAAAAAGGAAGAAAGGAAGAAAGGAAGAAAGACGAAUAGAAUAUUUUGGCGAGGAUUAGGGCUUGAGAGUGAUUUCAAGAGAUUGGAAGAAUCAAUCAUCUCAAGUAUUUGUUACCGUUUAUAUUACAAUAUAUUUGGGUUGUAUCAAGUUUGUUGUUCAAAUGUUCAGUUACCUUCAACAUCAUCCUCAUCCUUGUCAUCAUCUUCGUCAUCAUCCUCAUCGUCGUCAUCAUCCUCAAUUACAGGUUCAUCAGCCUGCAAAAACAUUAGAAGAAAGUCGGCACAGAAUUAUUAAAAUGUAGUUUUAGGGUGGAAAAUACAGGGAGUUCUUAUUUUAUACCUAGGGAAUGGACAUAGAAUAUCUAUAACUGAAUGUUACACAAAAUGCAAUCUAAAACACUGAACCCCAUAUUCCAUUUCUUAAUUAAUGACCGAACUUGCAUUAUUAAUUCUAAAACGCUGAAAUUUCAAUUAUUUUCAACUCCAAAUGGCUUCAAACAACUAAUUGGCAACAAAGGAAUUAAACACCAAAAGAAAAUCUCCUCCAAAAAAAUAACUUAAAAGUUAAAAUUAAGCUCACUAAUUCAAGUAAAAGAAUUUAGAAAUAACAAAACAUUUCAAUCAAAGAAGUAAACAACCCAAGUGAGAAAAUAUGUAAUUGCAGCUGAUUUCAAACUCAAACUACCACGAGUGAGUAUGAGUACCACGUCUUGUGUAAAGGAAAGAAUCUAAAAGUGAGUCGGUUGUGAGAAAUAUUUGAGUUAUAGGAAGGAAAAGAUAUGAAAGAGAGAGUGUGAGAUUACAUUAAUCUUUUGCUCUUCAAGCUGAGCGGCGAGAAGCUCUUCCUUGGUCUGAGCAGUCAUGGCGUUAGAGAUGAGUAGAAGAAAACUCACAAAGAUUAUUCUAACGUUUGAUGAAACCCUAAAAACCCGAUUAGCUUCGCCUAUUUAUACCACCCCACUUCGGGUCUGGAUCCCGGUUCCCUCUCCUUUUACUAUUUUGGUUUUUAUUUUUUACUUUUUUUUCUUCUAAAAUGUAAAUGGUAAAUGUUAAAACUCUUUAAAAUAUUUUGAAAGUAUAUCAAAAUUUAAAAUUCAAUUCAGGAUAAGUAUUGAUCGAUAUUGAUAGAUUUCUAUCGGUAUCUAGUAUUUAUAUAUUUAAAAAUGUACGUUAUUUUUAUAAAAAAUUUUAGUAAAGUUAGAGUUAAAAAACAUACCUUGAAUUGAACUGAAUUGAGGAUGAAAAGAUGUGAUGAUAAAUUCUAAUGUUAAAUUUGAAAACGUAUAUAAAAAAGAUUUUAUUGGAAUAAUUUUUAAUAUUACAUUUGCAAGAGGAUUUAAGUUUCAAAUGCAAUUGGAUGAAAUUAAAAAUUAAAGAAAAGAAUUGAUAUGACCUGACAAUUUACGAGUAUGUAGAUAAUUUCUUGAUUGAUUUCAACAUGCUCCACAGGGAGGCGGUGACUUGGAAAAUGGAGAUAAAUGCACAGUGAUAUAUAGUAUUUAAGUUAGAGAUAAGAUAAAGUGCCUGAUCCAUGGUUUCUAGUUGUUCUUGACGAAAGCAACUAAACAUGAACCAUGUGAUUUCUCGGUCUUGGUCGAGGUGACCAAUUGAACAAGUGUUUGCUAUCAACAUCUUUACGAACAUUUCAUUUUUAUUUUCAAAUGACAAAUUAGGGUUAUUUCAUAAUACUCAAAAUUUGGUAUCAUAAGGUAGAUAAAAGAACAAGCCCAACCAUACCCACACACGCCCACCCGCUACGAGCAAAGCCCAACUCCAUCACAAUUCCUGCUGCAACGCCCACAAAAACACCCCACUUACCUACUUGUUCAUGCUGCCAAGAACAAGAACCACACCCCAGGUUUGCGCCUACGUGCACAACAAAAUCCCUUAUCAAUUAACUACGGUUGACCCGACCAAAGAUACUCACUGGAUAGUCGCAUUACGUACCAUAUUAUCAAUUUCCCUCGACGAUAAAAUAACAGGGAAAAGCCAUCAUCCUCAACAAAACAACUGAUAAAGUCAAAACCAUAAUCUCAUAAGACACAUUAAUAUUAGAACCACCGCAAGCUUUAAAAUUGUGGCUAAUAAUCAGCACAAUGAAAUAUAAAAACUAAUACGAAAGUUUACAAAAGAACCAUUCAAUCUCUCAACUUCAAAUUCAGGUAAAAACAUAUGGGAAAGCAAGGCAAAAAGAUUCCAACACUCCCUAUUAAAAACAUCCUCCUGAUACUUCUUAUUAAUUUGUAAGUUCCAUUAUUGCCGAUACGAUAUCGCCCUCAGUUGCUUUGAGUGCUUUCACCGCCUUUGGUCUUG
rnacentral:lncRNA from 1 species